UUGGGAAAUGAUCUUUGUCUUUAUCAUCAUUUGCCAUUCCAAAGGUUUGUUUUACAGCAUCAGUUGCACCUUGGGCCAUACCCUUAACCUUUUCUCCAGUCUGCUGCAAAAACCCAGCUGAAUUGUCUUUUCCUGAUUGGGCCGUUUCCUUAGUUGACUGGCCCAUUUCUGACCCCUUUUCUCUUGCUCGACCAGUUGUGUCUUGGGCUUUUUCUUUUGUUGCUUCGGUUGUCUGUUGGGUCUUAUCCUUUGCUGCUUGGGCUGUUUGUUGGGUCUCAUCCUUUGCUGCCUGGGCUGUUUGUUGGGUCUUUUCCUUUGCUGCUUGGGCUGUUUGUUGGGUCUUUUCCUUUGCAGCUUGGGCUGUCUGACUGGUUUUGUCUUUGGCGGUUUGGGCUGCUUGCUGGGCUUUUUCCUUUGCAGCUUGGGCCUUAUCUUCUAUGUUGCCAAUCAUUUGGUUGGUCUUUUCCUGAUCCACCAAUCCAUCAAAGCACGAUUAAUUCCUCUUUUAUUUUUUAUUUUUUUAAAUUAAAAAUGGCAUUAGCAUAGUCAUUUUUAUAACACUCGGCAUUUGUUAAACAUCUUGCUCCUAAAAAAUAUAGAAUGCAAUACUUAAGAUCAGAAAAUAAAGGAAUAUAUUUUAAUUAUUGUUUCGUGGUUAUCGGUUUGGGAAAUUUAGGAUUUUCACAUCAGAAAAUAAAAGGAAUAUAUUUUCACUGUUGUUUUGUGGCUAUGAGUUUUGUAAAUAUAGUAUUUAUUGAGAAUUGAGUAAUUUAAUUUUGAGUUUAGAAGGAUAAGUGAAGAAGAUGAUGAUGAUGUUAUUAAGGGUUUCUUUAAUUUUAAUAAAUAAUUUUUUUAAAAUAAAAAUAGUAAUAAUAAUCCUGUGUAACUUGCACUAUAAUUUUUUAAUAAAAAAUAAAAACUAUGAUUUAUUUGUAUAUAUUUUAUAAGAUAAAUAAUUUAAACGAAAAAAUAAAAUUCAAUUAUAAUACAUUAUUAAUAUAAAAUUCUUUAAUAACAUUAUACUUGUGACCCAACAUUACACUUGUGACACUUGUGAGCUUCAUUGAGAAUGUAAAAACUAUGUAUAUAUAAAUUAAAUUUAGAAUAAAAAUUAAUAUAUUAUAAAUAAAUAAAACAAAAAAAAAUUCAGAAAUAAUUUUGCAUGAAAUUUGUUAUAUAUAAUAUACCUCAGUUCGGCCCAUGGUCUCACCAGCUUUGUAGCUUUGGUCGUGUGAUGCCAUUUUUGUUCUUCAAAGAGUAUGAAUGAUUUCACUCACUAGCUAUAUUAUACAAACUUUCCUUUUAUGGUAUUUUGAACACUUUAGUUUUGGUGACGAGGUUUGAACAACUUCAUUCAUACUUUAUUUAUAGUAUUUCAUGGCCUGUGUAUGAUAAACACGUGUUCAACUUCUUGACACGUACGUGUACUUGCACGUGUCGCUCAAAGACAAUGGUUAUAAACUUGAGAUGAGGAACUAGCCUGUGAAAGUUUGCCACGUUUGUUUUACUUUAUUUCUAUACGAGGCGCAGAGACACUGAAUUGAUGAGUCAUGAGCUUUAAAAUUGUCGUUUUGUCAAAAGAUAUUUCAUCCAUUUUAAAAGUGUAACUAUAAUUUUUUAUAUUAUACUCUCAAAUAUAUCAAUAUAAUUUUGGAGAUAAUUAUGAUAAAACUAAAAUAUUUGUAAUUAUUUAUUAAUUGUAAUUAAUUAUAGUAUAAUUUUUUUUAUAUUGAUAUUAUCUAAAAUUAAAUUUUAAAAAAUAAAUGUGUUUAAAUUUUUUAUUUAUUAUAUUAAAAAUAUAAAAAGAUAAUCAUCAAUAUUUUAUUAAAUUAUUUAUAUUAUUUAUUUCAGUGUUUUUUACAAUUACUAAUAUAAAGUGUGAUAAAUGUUUUAGAAGUCUAGUGUACAUAAUAUUGAUCGAGGUUAAAAUUAAAAAGAAAAUCAAAAUUAUUAUAAAAAUUAAAAUAAUAUUUAUUUUAAAGUGAUUAUUUUUAUUAAAAUGAUAUUCAUUUUAAGAUAAGAGAAUAACAAUUUUUUGUUUGAGAAGUUAAUUAUAAAUUUUGCACAAUAGUUAUUAUUUUAAGUGUUAACAAUUUGAUAUCGUUAACGGUACAUAUUCACAUAUACGAGUAUUUAAGAUAUUAUAAUUUUGUCUCAUUUAUAACAAUUUUAUAAUUUUAUGCAAUUAAAAUAGAUAUUUGAGUUACUUUGUACAUUCAUCUAUUUUAAUUUUAGUAGUUUUAAAUUUAUAUUAUUUUUGAUCUAUAUAUAAUUUAUUAAUUUGAAUGAAUAAAUAUUAUUUUUCUAAUAAAAAAUUUAAGAGAUACAUUUAAGAAAAAAAAAUUAAUGCAUCUAAAUUAUUAGAGAAAUCAAGUAACGGUUCUUAAAAAUGUGAAAUAAUUAAUAUUCAUUAUGUCAUAGUUAUGAAUGAAAAUUUACUAAUACUCCCUACUAAGUGAGGGCAUUUUCUUCAUUUUAUUAUAGAACAUCCUCUAGGAGAUUGUCAAAUUGCAUGAUAUAACGUCUGAGUAUUGUUUCAGGUUGAGCUAGCUCUUGGAAUGAAGUUAAACAUAACUUCAACCUAUAGACCUUAGACAAAUGGUUAGUUGGAAAGGACUAUACAAUCUGAAUUAUACCAUUUGAAGGUUUGUAUGGAAAGAAGUGUAAAACUCCACUUUGUUUGUUUGACACAAGAGUUAGUUAGUACUUUGACCAAAAAUAAUUCAAGAUACGACCAAAUAUAUCAUAAUGAUUUAAAAUCGAUCCAAUAAAAACCGCAAACCAAUAAUCGUCUAAAACAAAUUAAAAACUGCCACAAAACUAAUUAUUGUUGGACGUGUUUUGAUACAUUUUAAUACUUAUACAUUUAUUUACGAUUAGUAUGAGAUAUUGUAUUAAAUUAUUAUUUAUUAAUUUUAAUGAUUUUUUUAAUAAUAUUUAUUUGUUUAAUUUUAUAUAAUUUUAUUAUAAUUUCAUGUUUCAAAUAUAAUCGAUCAAUAUUAUUUCAUAAUAUUAAUUUUUAGUAUAUUUUAUAUGUAAUAUUUCGCUUCACACUUGAUACUUUAACAUGGUUUUAUAAUAUUAGUAUUAAAAUAUUAUUUUAAAAAUUUUAAUUUGGUUAAACCAAAAACCAUAUUAAUUUGUAUAUAAUCAAAUCGGUUUGUUUUUAGAAUUGUCAUCCAAACUAAAUUUAAUAACAUACAAUUUAGUAUUAGGAUCAGAUGAUGUUUUGCCUCAUAACCGAUCCAAACUAUAUAGCGUGCACUCUUAAAAUUUAUACAUUUUAUUGAAUUCACGUAUAAAAACAUUUAUCAUUCUAGUAUUGGAAUUGUACCAAGAAAUUAGUUUGAAACAAGAAAAUACUUGAAUCAAUUCUAAUACUAGUAUUAUGAUAUUUUUAGUUGUAGCUUGAACUAAUUCCGGUUUAAGUACUAAAAAUAUCAUAAUAAUUAAAGAGAAGAUGAGAGUAGCUAAAAGUAGACAAAAUAAUUAUCACAACAAAAGGUUGAAAAAGUUAUCUUUUUAUUGGACUAUAUGAAGUGUUGGAAAAGAUAAGAGUUGUUGCUUAUCAUUUUGUCUUGCUAGAGUUUUUGUCGAAUUUGCACAAAUUUAGAAUAACACUGACGAGACAACGCAACUAGUAGUCCAUUGCAGUUUUAAAUUUCUUAACGAUUGGCUGCUAGUGCAUCAAGUUAAAGAAGUCUGAAUUGUUCUUGUGUUGCAGAUAAGGGUAAACCUGGGAAAAAGACUAGCGAAUACAUAUACAUUAUGGUGACAAUGGUAUUUUUUUCUACUAAAACCUGAAUGGUUUUCUUCUGUGUGCUCAGUUAUGGAAGGUGAGGCUUAUGAAUUUCUUCAUGCUUUGUAAUGGGUUCAAUAGUUUUAGAUUGUAUUAUUUGAUUUCGAGUUGGACUCUAAAUAUGUAGUUGAUAUGUAAUGCUCCAAUUUUCACUGUAGUUUUUCUUUUUUUUAAAUCAAACAUUUCUCAAAAAUCUUUUAAAGAUAAUUAAUUAACAAUGCAUUUUUACGUUAACGAAAAACUUCCAAAAUCAAACUUUUUUAUUUCAAAUGUUAAUUACAUAAGUUAUAUAAUAAAACAAACAAGGGUUAUCCCUUAACAACUGGGUACCAUUGACCCCCUAGCUACAUUAAACUAUUUACACUGAAAUGACAAUCAAAGCCACGAUUCUGCUAUACCUUCAACGUCAUUCCGAACUCUCCACAAAAGAAUCCUCAUAAUCUGAGACGUUCAACCCAGUCCACAACAAGUAAAAGGUCACCAAUCGAAAUUAACACAUAACAAUUAGAAAUUAUAAAACAUAAGCUAAAAUUAAUACAUCAUAUAUAUUUUUCAUAGUAUCAAACAUGACUCGUGUGUCAAAGCAUCUUAAUGCAAUGCAUAUAUGUCAGUGCAUAUGAUUCUAAAACAUCACCUCGCCUCCGAAAGGGUGGUGGAUCACCGUCUAACACGAUCUACAAUUAUGAAGUCUCAAAGGACAUUCACGACUCCAAUUCUAAUUCUGUAAUUGUGGGCUCAAACUAAUUAUGGAUACACUAUGUGACUCCAUCAAAUUAUGUAUCCCAUUGUGAUUUCGACCAAUUAUGAACGUCAUGUUACUAUAUAUGCAUACACUUAUAUAUAUUUACUCCCACAUAUAUGACCGACAAUGCAUCACACCAUAAUCAUCAUGUCAUAAGGCAUUAUGCAUAAUCAUAUUCAUUAUUAAUAAGGACACCGAUGUAUUAUUCAAGUAAGCAUCAAGAAUAAUAACAUAAACACCAAGUAAUAACACCAAUUAUCAAACACCAAGUAAUAGUACAAAUACUAAAAUACCAAAGUAAAACACCAAAAACAAGUAUAAGCUAAAUAUAUUUUACUAAAAAGGGGAAGACACCCUUACCUCGACGACAUUUUAUUACACAAGAAACUUACUCUAGGUCAGUAUAACUUAUCCGACGAUUCCAACGAUACCUCUUAUUCCUUGUACCUUAAACCAAUCAAUAGACUUAAUCAAUAAAAGUUUCUAAAAUAACUCUCAAAUGAACUUUAGGUUCGACUACUAUCCAAAUCUCUAACUUGUUAGUAGAUGAUGGACAUUGAAGGUUCAAUUUACAUUCAUUUUCGACACAUAAAAACAUCAAAAUUAAUAUAAAAUCUUAUAAAAUCCUUCCUAGCUAGCUGCCCACUUAGAAACACAUUAACAAAAUGUACUCACCUAAGCUUUCAUUAGUCUUUUAUUUCUUGUUGUUAUUUACUAAUAACUUUCUUUGUUUUCAGAUAUUUGAUUAUCUUUAUAACUUGCAGUAACAAGAUCCUUAAUCACAUUCUUCUAUUAUUUGGUAUUAAUGCUAUAUACUAUAUACACAUCAGUUACUCAUCAAAAAUAUAUACUUUUUUUUCCUCCACUGUGAAUCCAAUAUUUCAACAAUGAACUUGUAAUAUGAAGAAUAAAUUGUGUAUACAUAAGAAAAAACUAAUGUUUAUGCUCACCUAUUUGCAAGCAUGUCACUAAUAUCUUUUAUUGUUUUUAUUUGUUAUAGUUGUAAAAAUAAUAAAAGUGAGAAUAGUUUUAGUCUUUUAAAAAAAAUAUUUUACGAAGCAGAUCAAAACAUAAUUUAAAGAUAAAAAAACAGUUUUUACGAAGCAAAUCAAAACAGAACUUGAAGAUAAUCACCAAAUAAAUUUAUGAAAAAUAGAACUUGAAGAUAAAAACAGAACCUGAAGAAUGAGCUGAAAAGAACAAGUCUUUAGUUGUCCGUAUCAAUUGCCAAAAAUUGAAACCUAAAAAAUUCAAAACUGAAAUGAAACGUAUCAGAUGCAAACAAGAAGCUCCAAGAAGGUCACACAUUCACUGCCAAUUUAAAGAUUGAUUUUACUUACACUUCUAAUCCUCUAAAAAGUGAUAGAGGAUUCACCGAGCAGAAGAGAAUGUUGGAGAAACUUACGAUUGGCUGAAUUAGAGGGGUGACGUAACUGUGAAAGGUAGGGUCGAAUGAGUCGAAAUUGUGGCGUAAAAAGGAAACGGUGGUGUUACGACAUGAAACGGAACGGUGGUGAAACAAUGGUACGUGGUGAAACUGUGGUGAAUAGGAUUUUAGGGAUUUACAUGAAAGUGUUAGUGUUGACUUCUGAAUUUUAAAGGUUUCAGAUGGAAAAGAGGGAAUCUGAAAGAAAAGAGCGAAUCUAAAAAAAGAGGGAAAAUGAAAACGAGCGAAAAUGGAAAAGAGGGAGCACACUUAUUAUAAUGUUAGCCACAUUCAUAACCGUGACAAAUUUUUUUAAGUUAUCUACGGUCAUCGUGAUCGUGGCUAAGUAACCGUGGCUAAUCGCCAGUUUUCUUGCAGUGAUACUCCUUUUGGUAUACAUCAUAAUUGGUGUUAAUAGCAAUUCCAGGAUCAUUGAUCACAAUGUAUUUGAUGCCAAUGUUGUGUAUUCUUUCCAAAAAAUUUAAAAGCUUUGGAAGAGGCUAGUUAAUUGGAUUGAUUCUUUUCAAAAAUUACAUCAAGUGGGAUUUUGGCCUUCUCUCUUGUAAUAAUCCAUGUAUUUCAAUUAUGAGUGUGUACAAGAAAAAUAUAAUUUUUAGCGUUUGGAUUUAGAUAUUAAAAUUUACGAUUUGAAGAUGAAAAAAUUGGGUUUGAAGAAGAAGAUUGUUAAAUUUUUAUUAAAAAAAUUUGGGAGUUCAAGAUAAAAAUAUUUGAGUUUUUAUUAUUUAAAAUUGAUUUAUUAAUUAAUUAAUUAGUUUUAAGUUUUUAUGAUUAAUUGAGUUAAUAAAAUGAAUUUUAAUUUUAAAUAUUAAAUAUUGUCUAGUCAACAACAAUCAUGUGCCGCUUCAUCUAAAAGUAGUCAUGUCCCAAUUUUUUACUGAAAAAGAUUUACAAAAUAUCUUUUUAAAACUUGUUACAAUUUACAAGAGUAUAAAUUAAAUAAAUAAAAAAAUUACCGUGACUAAAAUUAAAAUAAAACAUAUUUGCAAGUAUAAAAAAUAUAUUUAAAUCAAUAUUAUUUAAGUAUCUUGUAAUUUUAUGGCACAUUAUUUUGUUUAGUCACUGAAUUCAUUAUUAAAUGAGUCAUAUGUACUUCACAAAUAAAUUUCUCAGUAACAUAAAAUUUUUAUAAUAAAUUUACGAAUAAACUUUUAUCCUACAAAAGUUGUCCUUAUGUUGAAAUAUAUUGAGAUUAAAUUCUAAUGAAAUUCUUAUUAUUAUAGUCAAUAUAUAAAAUUCUCGAUUAAAUAUUAAUGUCAUUCAAAGUCUGUCAAAAUUUAAAUAACAAGUAAAUCUUGUCUUUUUUCUUAAGAAAAUAAUAGAAAAUUAUUUUUAAAAUUUUAACAAUACAAUACAUUCACAUAUCAUUUAACAUAAAAAAAGAAAAAGAAAAAAAAAACCAAACAAUUUUUCAUAAACCAAUUAGCAACUUAAACACAAUUACAAUAAAUUUUGGAAAUGAAUAUACAAUGUAUACAGAUGAAAAUAAACAAUAUAAUACACAAAUAGACAAAAAGCUCUAAUUUUAUAUAAAAUUAGAGAUUUUGUGUGAUAAUUUCAUCAAGCUCAAGAUGUUUUAGAGUUUAGUGCAAUUCUAUCUUAAAUAUUUUGAUAUUUAAUAGUUUAAAUAUUUAUUAUUAAAAAAUUUAUAUAAUAAAAAUUAUACAUACUUUUUUUUAAAAAAAAUUCAAAAAUAAUAUUUUAAAAAAAACUUGUUAAAAAAGUUUUUAAUUUUAAUUAAUUUUAAAAUUUUGUGAUUGAAAAAUAAUUGUAACAAUCACUUGAAAUACAAUAUUUUAAAAAAAAUCCAUUCGAAAUUUUAUUUUAAAAAGAAUUGUAACAAUAAAUUAUAAACUAUGAUUUUUUUUAUAUAAAUCGUAAUAAACGGAGCCAUUUUAUUGCCAUUAAUAAAAUGCUAUAAACAAUUUUAUGUUUAAAAAAAACUUCAUUUAAAACAGAGUGAUUCCAUAUUUUUUGGGCACAGAUCCAAUGUUUUAGUAGAAACUUAGUAAUAAGAGCUUACAAUAGCUUAAUAUUGUAAAUUCAAAACCAUGAUUCACAUCAAAUUAUGUAUAGAAGAUUCACUAUACUUAAUAAUAAUUUCUAUUACUUCAAUUUUUAUGUUUUUAAAAAUUGUGUUGCACAAAAACAUAAAUUUAACAAAGUAAACUUCUGAUGCUAUGAUGAAUGAAGGAUAAUUAUAGCAUUAUUACAACAAGGUUCAAACUUCAAACUACAAAAUAGAUAAUAGUACAUAAUACAUAAUUAUACAUUUCCCUCUCACUUCUAGAUAUGAGGGAAACGCAACUUAUUUUUAAAAAAAAGUGCGUUUGCUAAAAAGCCAAAUUCAAGAAAAACAAAUCACAACAUUAUUGAAAUAUAGCAUAAUUAAUAUAACUAAUAAUCUCAGUGACGAUUGGUUGGGAAAUGAUCUUUGUCUUUAUCAUCAUUUGCCAUUCCAAAGGUUUGUUUUACAGCAUCAGUUGCACCUUGGGCCAUACCCUUAACCUUUUCUCCAGUCUGCUGCAAAAACCCAGCUGAAUUGUCUUUUCCUGAUUGGGCCGUUUCCUUAGUGGACUGGCCCAUUUCUGACCCCUUUUCUUUUGCUCGACCAGUUGUGUCUUGGGCUUUUUCUUUUGUUGCCUGGGUUGUCUGUUGGGUCUUAUCCUUUGCUGCUUGGGCUGUUUGUUGGGUCUUUUCCUUUGCAGCUUGGGCUGUCUGACUGGUUUUGUCUUUGGCGGUUUGGGCUGCUUGCUGGGCUUUUUCCUUUGCAGCUUGGGCCUUAUCUUCUAUGUUGCCAAUCAUUUGGUUGGUCUUUUCCUGAUCCACCAAUCCAAUUUAUUUAUCAUAUAAUUAAUCUUUUAUUUUUCAUAUAAUUAAAUAAAACAUAAAUUAAAAUUAAUAUAUAGACUAGUGGUAAUAUUUUUAAUCGGAUAUUGUGUUAAUUUUCAUGCUAUGAAAAAUCAAAACUAUUUAUGUGUGAAAUAAAAAGUACAGAGGGUGGAAAGCCAUGCUCAUUGCCCCUCCCUCCCAUCAUUACAACCCAUCAUAUAAAAAGUUAUAUAAUGUGCAUAUAAACUACAAUAUAAUAUAAUAAUAUAUAUUAACAAAAUUAUUAUUAUUAUUAGAUUAUAAAAAACGUAAAUCAUGAGUUACUUUACUUAAGUAAAUAUAAAUAAUAAAUUUCAUUGAAUAAAAAUGAACAUAUGAUAAAUUUUAAUUUUUUUUAAAAAAUUGUGCUUAAUUAUAAAUAUAUUUUAUUAAUAAUCAAUAGUUAAAUUAAUCGAUAAACUUACUCUAAGUCAAGAGAUACUCAUUCAUUAUUUGACCUUUAGAGAGUAUAUAUUAUAUUGUUCUCAAUAUAAAAAAAAAAAACAAUAGUUUUAAUAUGUAUUAUGUAGAAUUAAUUUUUUCAAGCCUCUCAUCUAACAGAUUUUUAAGUCCAUCCUUAAUUUAAAACCAAAUAUUUUUUAAGAUCUAAUAGUUAUGAACUUAUGAUUAAUGACAUUGUUUUUUUACACAGGUAAAUUAAAAUAAAUAAAUAAAAGGAAAAGGAAAAAACAAUAAGUUCUAGGUUGCAUGAAAUAAAAUAUAUAGAAAUGAAUAUUGAAUAACAUUUGUUAUACCUCAGUUCUGCCCUUAGCUUCACCAGCUCUGUAGCUUUGGUCGUGGGAUGUCAUUUUUCUUCUUCAAAGGGUAUAAUUAAUUCACUCACUAGCUAUGCCUAUAUGAUAAAAACUUUCUUUUUAUGAAUAUCUCAAGCACUUUCUAUUUUUGUUAAUGGUUUUGAAUUUCAUUCAUACUCUAUUUAUAGUAUUUCGUGAAUCGUGUAUGUUAGCCACGUGUUUAACUUGUUGACAUGUGUAAAACACGUGUUGCUCCAAGGCUAUGGUUAUAAAGUUGAGUACCAUUUAUAAAUAUUAAAUGAGGAUUCGACCUGUGGAAUUUUGCCACGUUCCCAUUACUUGAUUAUUUUUACUAUUAUAUAUAAUAAUAAUGACGAGAUAUCCAUGAUUUUUUUUGUUAUAAGAUAUCCGUGAUUUAUAUAUGAGGUGCAAAUACAAUGUAUUUACUUUUUUUAGGCAAGACAAUGAAUGAAUUCAUGAUUAUAUGAUAUCAAACCCUUAUGCACAAAUAUAAAAUUAUUUUGAUUUUUAAAAUAUUUUGUAUGAUAAUUUAUACAAUAUAACUUUUUAAUAAUGAAAAAGUUAUAAAAAAGUAAAAUAAAAUAAAAUGAUUGAAAGAGAUUAAAAGAAAUUUAAAUUAAAAGAAUUUAUAUUUAUUUUCUAAUAUUAUACUUCAUAUUUAAUUAAUAUUUAGACUAAUAUAUCCUCCAAAUGAUGAAUGAGUUACUUGGUAUUGUUGGAGUCAACGAAUUCUCUCGAUAUGACUUAUAAGUGAUGAUUAUAACUAUUAGAGGUGGACAUCGGGUCAGUUUCGAACAGUUUCAGGCCAAAACAGUAAAAUCGGUUCAAUUCACGGGUGUUAUCUGCUAGCCCAAUCUCAUCCAUCUUUUUUGUUCGGAUCAUGGGAUGUCAGUUGUGUUAUGGUGGGUGGGUAAAAACGGGUUGAGUUUUAUUGGAUCAUUUUUUUUCAUUUAAUUUUAAAAAAGUCUGGAAAAAUAUAUAUGGUCAUAGUUUGUUAUAUAUAAUACAACUAUGGUCCAUUAAAAAAAAUUGACCCAAUCUAUCAAUCAUACAUCACAUUUGUUUUAUAUCUUCAAAUUUUUUAGAUCACACUUUUUUAUAAUAUCAAUCGAAGUUUUGUUGUAUCAUUGUUCUCAAACACAUGGCAUUUAUCAUUAGCCACAUAAAGUCUAAGUCUAAUAUUAAAUUACGAAUUCAUCAGCAACAUAAAUCACAGUCACGUGACAACACAAUCAUACAAAUUACAUCCUCAAGUAUAAAUUACAUAAUGAUCAACUUAAUUAAAAUUCUAUAUUAAUCAAAGGAAGAUAAUAAUGUUGCACCAUGAGGAUUUACUGGGUGAUUUCAGCAACAUAAACAUUUCUUCUUCUGCGCACAUAUAAUACAAAUUAGAAGAGAGAAAAAAUUGCAGAACAAAAUAACAUCAAUGUUCAAAUUAGAAAGAAUUAGUGAUGUAACUACUCAAUAUAUUAUUAUACCACAUUCGGUAGAAAUCGUUGAUAAUACACAACAUAUAGCUAACCUAACAGAACCUAUUAAUUUGUGUAUGGAAUUAAAACUUGAGAGGAGUCGGGGAUAUCGUAUAAAAACACUAAACAACAUUCAAGACGAAAGUUAUACUAUAAAUGUUGUAUUCAUGCAUAUGUUCAAAUUAGAAAGAAUCAAUGACAGUUGUAGAACAUAUUAACAUCACUUGGUAAAAAACAUGUAAAACACAUUAUAUAUAAUCAAACUAAUUCAACAACAAAAUUUGUAGAAAAAUACCUCAAGAGCAUUGAGAAGUUUGUUUCAGUUUUGUUGUGUUUUGUUCUCAUAACAGUGAGACAUCUAUAUUUUGUGACAUCUAUGUUUUAAAUUUUAAACAAAUAACUAAAUUAAGUAUUCAUAUGCAUUGCAUACCCAACAAUUGAAUUGUAAUAAAGUUGAAAAAUAUUAAAUUACAUAUAUUUUCUUUUGUCAAUUUUGAUCCAAUGCCACGAAAGUAGAAGUUGAUCCAAAUAUAUGGUAAGCUGGUCCAAUGCCACAAAAGUAUGAGUGAGGUGGUUUGUAAUUUAUUAUAUUGAAGUUAUGCAGUAAAAUGACAAUCAAAUCAAAACUUACAAAUAAAUUCUCAUUAGUGCAAACAAUAGCAAAGUCCUUUAAAAAACUUUUUGCUCCAUCUUAUUCAACUGGUUCAACAACAUAACUUGCAAAAUUAAAUCAUAAAUAAGUCAAAAGAAGAUUGAAAUCAUUUAUAAUAAACUAAAACUAAAUGAAGCGCCUUACCCACGAAGCUUUUUUGUUCCAAAAAGAUAUGGCCAACUUGUCUCAAAAUCUAUAAUUAUCUCUCAAAAAAUAAUAGUCGGCUACUUGCUAUGCUAUGAUUGAUUAUGAGUCUUGUGUGACUCCAAAAAAUAAAAAUAAAAAGGCCACCUAUAAUAAAUAAAAAACUGAACAUAAUUAAAACAAUAAAACUAAUUAUAAUUAAAAAAAAACAUAAUUAUGAAAGGACAAACAUAAAUUGGACCUUCAACAAUUUAAACAUAGCCUGAAGGUUGUGACUGAGAGGAAGGUAAUGAGCCACUUCCAGCUGAGCUCCAUUUAAAUCUAUGAUACAUUAAAAAAACAGCGAAUUAUCAUGUUAAACACAUAUAAACAUUACAAAUGACAAUGAAUAUAAUUUUUUUUGGAAAAGCAGCGCGCCUACUAGUACUUUCUCUGAAAUUUCAUACUCCUCAUCAAAUAUGAAGUCUUUAAAUUGGUAAAAACACGGCUUCAACAAAUUUUGGGUGCAUAUUAGAGCCUCUGCCCUUUCUAGAUUUAGAGAGCUUCUAUAUACCUCUAAAACUUUACCCCAGUGCUGAAAGCACUCUUAUAAGCCACAAUAGAAACUGGUUUAGGCAUGAUUUCUCUUACCAUUCUAGACAAAAUUGGAUUCCAACAAGCAUUAUGUUUCCACCAUAUUAGAAUCUCAAACUUUUCUACAAACUCUAUACAUUUCUCAUUAGUGUGCCUCUCAAGUUCAUUUUCAACAUCAAUUGAAUCCUUUUUCUUUAAAUGUUUUUGAAACACAUUUUUCCGUUGUAAGUGUGCGCUUGUGUGACCAACAUCAGUUGUUUCAAAGAGGGAAACAAAUGCACCAACACUAGAAGAUAAAGCCUUAGAUGUUUUAUCAUAAGCAUGCUUAUACAAUUUGUAUACUUUAAUAAGAUUAUCAUUUAUCCUUGUCAAUAAAUUUUCUUUUAAUUGGUUUAUCACCAUACAUAUCAUUGAAGCAUCAUUCCAGAUACCUUAACUUGUAUCAGAGAUCUAAAAUAACACCAAAGUAAAGGAGUUGCUUUAUGUUAGAUUCAUUGCCCCAAUACUUGGUGUACUUUGUCAACAUUUGUUUGCCCAUUGAUGCUAAAAAAGUGUUGAGGUCUAUGGAUGAACGCUUAAGUUCAAUAAAGAUGGAAGCUAAUUGGUGAAAAGUCGCAUGCAAACUUGUUUGUUGUGAGGUUGAAAAUAUUUUUGUUGUGUCAUAAAAAUACUUCAAAAACUGAAUAAAACACUUGCUUUUUUCCGAAUCAUUAUUAAUGGAUGGAGAAGCUUCUACAAAGUAUUGCCUAUAGCUUGAAUCUUCAUCUUCAAGCUUAUCAAAGGCUAGUUUAAAUUUUACAGUUGCUUCCAACAUCAAAUAUGUUGAGUUUCACCUUGUUUGAACAUCAAGACACAACAAUUUAUUGCUUGCAAUUCCAACAAAUUAUAUAUAUUACUUAAAUUUUGCAGUCAUUUGUGGUAAAGAUCUUACAAACCUCACAACAUGUCAAAUGGAAGAAAUUGAAGAGUCGAAGUCUUUCAAUCCUUUAGUCACCAUUAUAAAGUUGAGUAUGUGAGCACAACAUCUCAUAUGAAAAAAAGCUCCAUCCAAAAGUAUCCCAUUCAUGUUUUUCUUUUUUAAUCUUUUUCUUCAAUAAUCCUACCGCGAUAUCAUUUCAUUAUGCAUUACCAACUAUGACGGUAGACACAUCUCUAAGUCUCCAUUCCCUCAUCAAGAUUUUAUAGCCACUAUCUCACAUCUAUGAUUUGGAACCACACAAAAGCUAAUGAUUCUUUUUUGGUAAUUCCUCUCAUUAUCAAUAAAAUGGGUUGUGAGGGUCAAAUAAUUAAGAUUUUAAACAGAAGUCCAACAAUCUGUAGUAACAACCACCCUACUACAAUCGAACUUGAAGAACCAUUUCAACCUCAUUUUUCAUCUAAAUACAACUGAAAACAAUAUCUUGCUACAAUAUGUCUUGAUGGUAGGGUAAAUUGGGGCUGCAAUUGAUUACAUAAGUACUUAAAUCUCUUCCCUCAACUGUUUUAAAUGGUUGCUCAUCCAAAAUGAUAAAAACAACCAAUGUUUUUCUACAUGCUUAAGCAUUAAAUCCAGAGCUUAUUACAACAAAACUAUACCCCUCACUUGUUCGAAGUUGUAAAAUAGUUUGAUCAGGAUCAGUUGCUACAUUUAAAGGAUAUUUUGUGCAUCUUUUUAUGUGAUGCUUCAUAUUGGAAGUACCAUGUUUCUUACCUUCACAAAAACACUUUUGAUGGCAGUAUUUGCAAGCAGCAGUUCGAAUUUCACAAUUAGGAAUUUCAUUAAAGUGGUCCCAAACCUCAUAAGUUUUUCUAGAACCUCCUGCAUUGCCUUUUCUCUUCUUCCCAACUAGAGGAAGAGUAAUUGCAGGCGCAAAUUGUUCAAUAGGUUGAUUAUUAGCUUCAAUAGGUUAGUCAAGAGAAGUAUUAGGCGAAGGCGACGCCAUCACUGAAACAUAUAUGAUUGUUAUGCUUAAGUAUAGUUAAAGUUUAAAAUAUUAUGUUUUUAAUCAAAAGUUUAAUUUGAUAAAGUUUUCAUAAUUAAUUGUUAAAUUUUUUCUAUAUAAUACAUUAUCAUCCAACUCUAAGUAUUUUGUGUGAUCUAUUAGUGAAUUUUGUAUAUGAAACAACUCAGAAGUUUUGGUUAAUCAACAAUUUUAUUUUUUGGUUAAUCAACAAUUUUGUAUAUGAAACAACACAUUUUGUUUUUUAAUUAACAAUUUUAUUUGUUUAAGCCUUAUAUAUAUAUAUAUAUAUAUAUAUAUAUAUAUAUAUAUAUAUAUAUAUAUAUAUAUAAACUAAUUGACUAGUUAUUCACUUGUUAUUAUAUAAAAUUCAUACAAACUCAAAAAAGUUCAGCCCAUAAUCAAAUUUUUUUAGCAUAGCAUAAAAUUACGAGUUUGUGAAUUUUCUACGAAAUCAACAUGUGAAUUUUCUUAAAUUCAUUCAAACAAAACCACCAUGUGAAUUUUCCAAAGGAAACAACUUUUUCAUUGAGUGAUGGAUAGAAUUAAAUUCAGUUUAGUUCUUAACUAAAAUAAGUAGUUCAAUUUUUUAAUGGCAGUUUGGUUUAAAAAAAUUAUUUGAACACCAUCACUCUUAAUCAUAACACAUAAUCUAAAAAACAAUGUAGUCUAAAAAAUCAGAUUAUUAGCAUAGACUUAAUUACCAACUGUAAAGAGAUUUAAGCAAGAAACCUAAUUACCAUAUCACAUGAAGCAUAUUAUUAGCACGCACUAGACAUAGACAAGUUAAAUUAUUCUAAAAAACUAUGUAGUCUAAAAAUAACAUACACAAUAUCAUUUUAACAAGUUGAUUAACAAAAUAUUUGCAAUGUGUUUAACUUACAACUUUCUGGUCUAGCUAGCUCCUUGCAUACACCUGCCUCAUUGGCCUUGCUUUAUUAUUCCAAAUCAAAAAAGUUCAAAAAACACUAAGUAAGUAUUGAACAGAAUCUACAAUCUAGCAAUAUUUAAUUAUAAUGAGAUAAACAUGAAUCUAAAACUAAACAUAAUAAACAAAUCAAAUAUCAAUAUAAAACUACAAAAUAUAAACAAAUCAAACAUGAAUGUUAAACUAAAAAAAAUAAACAAAUCAAACAUGAAUGUAAAAAUACAAAGAAUAAACAUGUCAAACAUGAAAGUAAAAAGUAAAACUAAAAAGAAUAAAUAGAGCAAACAUGAACAUAAAUUCAGGAAACGUAACUUACAACCUUAAGAACUCAUAUUAACUUAAUCCCUAGAAAGGCACAAACUUACUUAAAAAGAAUAAACGUAUCAAACAUGAACAUCAAACUAGAAACCAAAACUCAAAAAUUCCAAGAACAUAAUAAACCUUAAAAUAGAAAGAAAGAAAGAAAAAAAAAACAAGAUUGUAAAAUAGUAAUCUACAAAAAUAACAAGUAAAAAAACUGUAAAUAACUACAAAUGUAAACUAAUAAAAGAAACAUUAUAAGAAAUCCUAAGAAACUAACCUUAUCUAAAGGUUCAAUAGAGAAAGGAAAUAUGGACAAACUCUAUCUUAUCAGUACUUAAACAUAAUGAAAACAUCAUAAAACAAAUAUUAGUGAAAAAAGAUCAAACCCUAACAUAAAAUAGUAACUUCAAUGAGAAUAACAAAUCAAAACAUAACACAAAAGCAUAUAAUACAUUUCAAGAUUAACAUUGAAUAAUGAAAGAACAAUUUUUAAGAUAAACAUUGAAUAAAUUUUCUAAGAUUGGAGAGUUAGAGUUUAGUAAAAAUUUAAAAGGAGACUUUCCAGAUAGAUUUUGUUGCACGUUUGUAGGCUAAGAUGAGACAGCGGCGAGGGUGACUACAAAAAUAGUUACAGUGGCGAUGGUGACCGUGACAAUGAACAACAGAGAUUCAGAAAAGACCGUUUGAAUCGAGAGAGAGAGAGAGAGAGAGAGAGAGAGAGAGAGAGAGAGUGAGGUGGGAGUGAGUAAGUAUGUUGAAAUUUGAUUUGAAGUGGGUGUUAAUUGGACUGCGGGAAUGUGCGUUAAUUGAGCUUUUUUUUUAAACAAAAAAUUUCUUUGGACCAGGUUGUGGUUGUGUGAGUGUAUGAGUAAUAGUAAUAUGUGCAAUUUACAUAUUAAUAUAUAAUAUAAAAAUAAUAAUAUAAUUAAAUGAAUGAAUUCAGUCGGGUUCGGGUACCGAGGAAUCCAAAUUACCCAUCUGAACCCGACACCCUUUAUUUUUCACAUGCCUAAGCCACCAACCCGAAGAAACUCGUCCACAAACUUAAAUCUUUUAAUGGAUUGGUCGGGUCUAGAUAUGUUGUCCACCCUUAUUACCUAUUAAUAUAUCUAUAUUGCUUUUAUUACAAAAUACUAGUACUAAAUAAUUAGUUAGUGAUAAGUCAUAACUAUUGCCAUGCGAACAAGACAAUUAGAGAGUUUGUUGUAGGAUUGUAAUAUGAUACAUGUAUUCCAUCCUCUUAAUAUACUCCUUCUUCUAAGUAUAUAACAGAAAUUGACUUGUAAAUUAAUCAUAAGAAUAUAUUCAUUUUCUGGUAAUUUAUAAGGUAUUUUUCUUUUCGUGUUUCCACUUAUAUGGUCUGUAUGCAGUUAGUUCCAUUCAUAAUCAUAUAUAUUUUGUUAGUAUUGUUAAUGAUCAUAGUAGGUAUAUCUAGGUUUUUUAAUUGAAAGGUAAGGAUGAGGUUCAGUUGCAUGUUCAACAUUUUGUUAGUAUGGUUGAAAAAUUAUUUGGUAAAUUUGUUAAAGCAAUUCGAAGUGAUAAUAGUCUUGAAUAUCUCAUGUCUUCUUAAUAUGGUAGUAAACGCAUUUUACAUCAGUGCAGUUGUGUAGAAACUCUGCAACAAAAUAGGAGUUAAGAGAAAACAACAAUUUAUCUUGAGUGUGGCUCAUUCUCUCAUGAUUCAAUCCCCAUUUCCUAAAAAUAUUUUUCAAGCUAUUUAUCUUACUAAUAUGGUCCCUACACAGGUGCUACAUAACAAGUCUCCCUAUUUGUUACUAUAUGGUCAACUCUUUGAUUUAUUUAUAGUCAAAUUCUUUAUGUCCUUAUGUUGUAUCAAUAGUUUAGUACCUCAUAGAGGAAAAUUUGACACCAGGGCCCACAAUUUUGCUUUCUUAGGGUUUAAACCUGGCCUGAAAGGUUUUGUUGCAUAUGAUAUUCACACUAAAUCCAUUCACAUCUCACGAAAUGCUAUUUCAAUGAGUCCAUAUUUCCCUGUCAUUCUAUUACCUGGACAUUAUCUUACUCUAGUUGAGAGUAUUUAGUAAAUCUUCACCUACACUAGUGGUCCCUAACAAGCCUGCUCCUCUCACAUGUCCUUGUCCUACACCCGACCCUAACACUAUUUUAUCACCUCCCUCUAUUUAUCAUUAUCUUGACGCUACCCAAUGUCCAACUUAUUUCCGUAACCUGGACCUCACCACUACACCUAACAUUCCCCCACAUCAUAAAGUCCCUUCCCACUUAAAUGACUAUAUUUUCCUUACUUUUCAAUCUUUUAUACCUCAUCCCAUUAGUUCUUACUUGUCCUAUGAUUCUUUGUCCCCUUCACAUAUAACUUUUGUCUUAUCCCUUUCUACCAUGACCGAAUUUGCCUCUUACAAUCAAGCCAUUUCAAAACCAAGAUGUAUUACUGUCACGGAGUUACCCUUUAUUCUGGUGUUAAACCCAUAAGCAGUAAGUGAGUUUAUAAGAUCAAGCGUAGGGUGUCAAUUAAUUUGAUACAUUUUCUCUCGUGGAUAAACUAACCAUAGUUGGACUUUUGUUGGCCCUUUCUUCUAUUAAGCAUUGGCAUGCUCAACAAUUGGAUGUGAGAAACACUUUUCCAAUAAAGUUUUCAAGCUUCUCAAAUCAAUUUGUGGCCUUAAACAAGCCAAUCAAAAAUGGUAUGAAAAACUCAUUCAUCUCUUGACUACUCUUAGUUACAAACAAGCUUUUGUUGACCACUCUUUGUUCACUAAAUAAUGUGUUGAUUCUUUCAAUGCUUUGCUCAUUUAAGUGGAUGAUCAUGUACUAGUUGGGAGUUCUAUCUCUGAAAUUUCUUAUAUUAAAUCUACCUUGAACAAAAGAAUAUGGAAUCAAUGAUUUGAGGGUGCUUAAGUUUUUUCUUGGGUUGGAAAAUGCUUAUUCUUCUCUUGGAAUUUCUCUUUGCCAAUGUCAACAUUGUCUCGAUCUUCUCAAAGAUGUUGGUGUCCUUGGUUGUAAACCAGCUCCAACACAUUUGGAUCCCUAUCACAUGCUACAUCUUAAUUCCAACCCUGCCUAUUUCGACAUCAUGUGUAUUGUCGUUUGGUUGGUCGUUUGUUGUACCUUACGACUACUCAUCCUAACAUCUCUCAUGUUGUGCAACAACUUAGUCAGUUCCUCAACAAGCCCACUGAACGUCAUUAUAAGGUUGCCCAACGCAUCUUGAGGUAUCUCAAGGGAUCUCUUUGUAAAGCCUCUUUUUCCCAUGAAGUUUUGUCCUUCAGUUAUAAGGUUUCUCUAAUGUUGAUUGGUGCGGUUAUCCUGAUUCUCGUCACACUAUCAAUGGCGAUUGUUUUUAUCUUGGUGAUUCCCUUGUUUCAUGGCAUUCUAAGAAACAUGUAAAUGUUGUUCGUUCGUCUUUUGAGGUUGAGUAUUGAGCACUUGUAGCUGUUACAUGUGAAUUACAAUGGUUACAAUAUUUAAUGGAUGAUCUCCAUGUUUCUUCUACACACUCAUUUGUUCUGUUUUGUGAUAGUCAGAGUGUAUGGCUAACCUUGUGUUUCUUGAAUGAAUUAAGCACCUUUAGAUUCUAGACUUUGGAAAUUUUUCUUUUCUUUUGUCUAAAAUGCACUUCCCAAUGUUUAAAAAAAGAAUAUGCAAUCGAGAAGACAACUGCAACAAAAAGGUAAAGAUAGUUGCAUAUAUCAUUUUUCCCAUUUUAAGGAUGUAAAUAAAUAUCGCAAAAAAUGAUUGCGAUGAAACACCGUUUUUAUGAAGAAAAAAAUUCGAGGUUCCAUUUUUUUCAACUCAAAUGAAAAAAAAAAAUACAUUUUUAAAAUGUAUUUAGACACUAAGAUAUCUUUUUCUCUAGUUCUGAAUUUCUCUCAUAUCUCAACUAGUAUUAUAUAUUAUAUGAGAAUAUAAAUAAUUUUAAUAAUAUUUAUUCAAUGUUGUGAUUAAUUCACAUUGCGAUAACCACACUCCAUAACACAAUAUUUAUAAUAGUUGAAACUGCAAAUUUUUUGACACAAUCGUAAAUGUAAUCGUGACUGCUAUUUAAAACCUUGUAACUCUACUAUGAAUUUGUUGUUGUGUUUGAGUGGUAGGAUUGCUUAUGUUGCUCUUUUUGUCAAUGAAAGUGUAGGGCAAAGUUGAAAUAUUGAUAAUUUGUGGUGGUAUAUGAGGACUACGUUGAAGUAUACAAAAUAAAAUUUUCCCUUCAACAUCAUAAAUUUAAUACCAUGUUUAACAUUUUAGAGUAGGCCCAUUGCGAGUAUGUGGGCCAGUCCAUUAUAAACUUAGGGAAUAAAAAAUCUAUUUGGUACUCCUCAGCUAAUCCCUUACACCCUCCACAAAUUUAGUAAUAUUACAAAAUAGUUCUUCAAUAAUUUCGAUAAAAAUUUAAUUUACAAUACUUUUUAGAAAAAAUCCCACCAGUGAGUAUUUUCUUAAAUAAUUUAUAUUUAUAUUUUUUAAAUUUGAAAAAAAAAAAUUUAAAUCGUGUUUACAUUCCAAAAUUUUUAAAAUAUAAAAAAUUCAAAAUUGCCAGGACUUGUGCUUAUAUUGUUUUUACUUCAAAUGUUUUUGAACCUCAGACCACAAGUUUGAUUUUCUUUCUGUUGUCUAGGGUUGUACGUCUUGAGUUUUAGAGGUCCUCUCGUACAUACAAGUUGUUACGAGAUUUGAAUUUUGACUUCAUUUGUUAGCUAUUACAAUUUUAAAUAGAAAAGUUAUAAUUGAGAGAAAAUUAAUUACAAAUAAAGAGAUCAUUUUUCAAAUACAUCAAUUGAUACUUAAAAUUUAUAUAGCUAAUGAGUAACAAUUAAUUAAUAUAAUUAAUUAACUAUUGUUUUUGAUUUGUCAAGUACAAUUCAAUUGUUUAUGUCUAAUUAACAAACUGAUAUGUUUAGUAUUAGCUAUUAAGAAAGUUCAAAUGUUGUUAUAUAGAAAAAUAGAGGAUAACAAAAGCAAAACAAGGUGUCACCUAAAUUAAUUAAGGUCUUCUAACACUCUAAGAGGUAUGAUUUACUAUAUUUCAGUAAAAGAUACGGUUUUUUAGAGUCUAGCAGCAAAGUUCACGUAUUAAAUUUAUGAAAAAGAGAGAUAUCUUGAGUUUAAAUAUGCAUCUCAAUAUAUCAAAUGUCCUUAUAAUUAUCAUGAGUUUUUACUCACGAAACCAAUAAAAAAUUACUUUAACAAUUAUAUAAGAUAAAAAAAUAAAAUAAAACAUGACAAAAUACUAGUUGGGGAAGAUGACUUAAAUAGUUGAGUUAAAAUUCUUACUGCAUCUUCUCCUUGACAUAUUGACAUGAGUUGAUCCAUCAAUAACAAAACACAAUUAAAAAACGAAAACACAUUAAAAUAAAAUAAAAAUUCAAAACUAUUCCAUUAAAAUAACAUUAUUCAAAAAUCAAAAUAGUAUCAAUUGCUCUAUUAAACAAAACAAAUUUUUACAAGUUUAAAAGUAACAUAAACUCAAAACAUAAUCUAUCUAGCAAAAGAAAUAAGUUCAAAUUCAACAAAAUCGACUUGGUAAAAAAUAACUAAAAUAUGAAAUUUUUAUAUUGACUAAUAGGGCCAGUCAUAUACCUAUGUGUCUAAAAUUAGGAAUAUGUUAAUAAAAAAAUUAAAGAAAAUUUUAUAAAAGGAGAUAAAAUAAAUUUCUUAAAAAAAUCUUAUAUUUAUAAACAAAGUAUAUUAUUAUAAUAAACUAUAUGCUAAAAAAAAAAAUCCAAAAGGAUAGAUAUAGUUAGCAGGCAGCAAUGAGUAGCAACACAUUCAAUUGGUUGUAAAAAAGUACGCACACAAUGACACAUAGAAUCAUGCAUGGAAACGAUUCUCAAUGCAAAUAAUCGAAUCACACUCUUUAUUCUCUUCUUUACAGUUUGCCUCAAUUUUCCUUUACCCUUCCCCAAGAGAAUGGAGGCCAGAUCUUGCUUCACUACACAUUCUUACUAAUAGUACCAUUCAAGACACUAUUGUGUACAAAUAAAGUUGUGAGAGAAAAGAGAGAAUAAUUAAAAUAAUUCAGGAGCAGCCGCAGUAGUAAUGGUUUCAAAAAAAGAAUAGAAAAGAUGGUCAAAAUUAAAACCUCAAAGACUUAUAAUUCAUUCCAUCAUAAGCUCUAUCAUCUUUAUUGAAACUCACUAUUUUGCCUUUUCUUUUUUCAUUUCCUAUUUAAUUUUUUUUUUCUUUUAAAGUUGUACUAACAUUCCUAUCCUUUUAACAAAUGUGUCACAAUUAUUUAUUUAUUUAAUUUAAUGAGAUUUUCAAUUUAGGUUUUAAUGUACGGGAUAAGGAUUUAAAAAAACUCUAAAACUUAAAGGGCAUACACAUAAAUCUCUAAAUCUAAAAUUGACCUAUACACCUAAACAUUUUUUUUGUUUGUAGCUUUUUUGAGAAAUAUUUUUCAAUUUUUUUUACUAAAUAAUUUAAAAAAUAUAUUAUUUAUAAUUUUUUUUAAAUCUUAUUAAAUAAAUAACUAUAUUUUUUUCCAAAUUUUAUUUUUUUAAAAAAAUGAACUCAAAAUAUUAUUAAGUAACAAAAAAUUGGGGUGAGGAAACACGAAACCUAUACUCACAAAAAAUGAAAAUAUCCCAAGAAGGGAGUCAUGAUUUAUGGAGCUUACUAGGGAAUUUGGUAGGUGAGACUUCAUCAUUUAUACAGCUCUAGUUCACAAAUGACAAAUAGAUAAAUCUUUUAAACUAUAUAUAAUCACAAAUUCGAUUUUCAUUUGGUGUACAUGAAAGAAUACAUAUUGAGAGACGUGAGUCCUUUAAAUAAAUUUUUGUUCUUUGAAUGAUUAAUCUUUAACUUUGUGGUGGCAAUAGUUCAGACAACAAAAUAAAAGUUGCACUGAUCGGAUUUAGGUUGUUCAUAGUCAAAACACUUUUAGUCACUUAGUUAGUGUUGGAUAUGACUCGUAUGUGAUAGGUAGUGUUGCAAUAUGAACUAUAAUAUUUAAAUUCAAGUUGUAUUUUAUAAAUCUUGAAUCAUAAUAAAAAAAAGGUAUAAACAUAGACACAAUUGUCCAUCUUCGUGACCAAACAUUGUUUCUAUUAUGUUUUUGAAUCAAGAUUGUGGUUCUAUUGGCUAGAGAUCUCGAUUGUUGGGUCAAGAUUAAAAUAUUUCAUUUUUCAUUUUUUUUUAUGAUAAAAAUAUUUUAUAUUUCAACUUAACAUUAAAGAUUUAAAAUAAAAUCAUAAUAGAAAUCAUUUAAUAUUGAUUCAACAACUGAAAUGUUUAUAGUCACAAUAUGAUAUUUUGAGUGCGUGAUUUAAUUUAAAUUUCUUUAUAAGUGUUCAAUUCAUUCAUUCGACUCCACUCAUAUACCAUUGACUAUGAGCCAUAUACUCAACCUAUACAAAGAACAAGAUAUCAUAAUUUUGUUUUCUUGAAAAAAUUCAAAUCAAACGUCUCCUCCCAAUGAUUUCAUCACUUCACUUACCUUUUACUCAUUACCAUUCCUUCUACUUUUACAAGAGAAUAAAAGAAUAUUCAAAUUGAAUAAAAUAAAUGAAUAUUCAAACUUCAUGUAAAGCAUAAAGAAUUUUCCAAACAAAAUUGACAGUCAAAAUUCCAUGAAUUUUCCAAAGAAUAUAAUUGACAUGAAAGAGAUAUGGAUUCCCUCGUGGAUAUAGUCUUCUCUUUGCUCUAUGAUAUAAGUAAAAAUGAAUUGAAAAAUGAAUUAUUUAAACUUUAAAUUACAUAUAUUCACUUUAUUUUUACAAACUCAUAUAUUAAUAUUUAACUAAUUUCUACUUAUAUUAUGAGACGAAGUGAAUAUUGCUAUUCGGGGUCAUUCUAAAUGAUUUUAAUGGUACGAAUAUUCAUUACAUUGUCACAAAUUCACAAUUGCUUACCUGUGUUGUCCACUAACAAUAAUUUGGAUUCCGCAUUGCCCAAUAACAUGCUAUUAACUUUUUUUAUAAUGAUUUUUAUUUUUGUUGUAUUCAUGGAUUUUGCUAGUGGGGCAGAAAAUCGAAAUAUAUUAAAUAGUGUGGCAAAGGAAACCUUUAUAGGGUUCAUGAUUUAUUUGAUUGGUGAAAUUUUUGGACAUUGUAUGUUGUUCUAUUAGGUUGCAUGCUCUUUUUGUUGGUGUGGUGUUUGUUGACUUGGUCAUCUUGCAAGUUUCCGUCCUCAUUCGAUCAAAUUAGUUUGUGUCCAACAAUAAAAGAUUUUUAAGGUUAAAAAUAAUGUAAAUUUUUAUACAGUAGAUGUUCUUUUUUAAACGAAAUUCCCUAGAGUUUCUAGAAUAAUUUUGUUAAGGUUUUCAUAUGAUACAAAGGUACAAGUGAGUUAUAAUGGCUCUCCACUUUAGAUUUUAUUUGUUCAGUAGUGAGAGGUCCUCAUUCGAAACCUUUUCGGGCUACUGUGAUUUGGAUCGAGUCAGUUUGAAUUCAGUCCAUUAUCGUAUUGAGUUGAACCACUCUAAUAUGAGUUCGACCCAAAACAACAAUAGCAAUUAUGAGUUUAACCAACUUACAAGAUAACUUCUGCUAAUUUUAUUGCCUCAAAAAACAAAUCUACUAAUUUUACCCCACACCAUAUAUACAAUUUAGUAACAUUUGAAAAAUAUUUCUUGUUACUUUAAAAAAGUUACUAAAUUAUGGUCAAAUGUAACCAUUUAGAUUUAGCAACAUUAUAAGGUAAAACAUAUAUUACUAAAAGUUUUUAGCAACACCUUAGUGUAUCAUUAGAAACAUUUAACAAUUUACUUCUUAUGUUGCUCCAUCAGAAUUUUCCUUUGAACACAAGUUUUUUAGUGAAUUUUUUAAUGGAAGCAUUUUGUGAAUUUAGGAGUCACUUAAUUUGCUAUAUAUUACUUUAAGGGGCAAAAACUUGGAAAAAGAAUGAUAUUUUUUCAUGUAGGGCCAUCCUUUAAUUUUUCGAUCACAAUUUUUAAGAUAAGCCUCUAACUAGUCCUUCAAAUUGUGAAGUAACAUUACUAUCAUAGUGGUAUUAUUCUAAUCCCUUCCCAGACAAGAUUUUACAUCUUUGAUAAUUUUAUUAAUAUAAGAGCGCCUGUUGAUGAUUAGGGUAUUAGUUGUUGAAAUAUUUUAUUAAAUUUUAAUUUAAUUAUUAUAUUUUAGAUACAUAGUUCUUUGAAGAUAUUGAAUUUGUAGGAGAUAUAUGGUCAAAAGAACAAAAUUGAAUGAAGAAGAAUUCGUUCCAAAUCAAUUCUUAUAGUUGCUAUUAAUAUAACAAAAUUUGGUCCUCGUAAGGAUAUUAUUGUUCUUCCUCUUAAUCAAGUUAAGAAAUUAUUUAUAAAGAUCAAACUAAGCACCCUGAAAAACUAGAGCAUCAGGUGUCGGAAAUGAUUGACUAUAAAGAGAAAUUUUAUUUGGUAUUCUUGAAAGACUCUAUUAGAACAGUCAUGACACUUGUUGUUCAUUAUGAUUUUUGGAGCUACAUAAGAUGGAUGUCAAUAUAGUGUUUCUAAAAGACAACAUUUAUGAAACAAUAUGUUGCAAUCAAAGGAAACUUUAUGUCAAUAGACACAAAGUAAAUAAUUUAUAACCUGAUGUAAUUCAUCUAUGAGUUAACAAAUAAUUCUCAUUAGCGAUACCACAUUUUUCAUAAGGUAAUUAUGUCAUUUAGUUUUGAGAUGACAUUUGCAGACAAUUGUGAGUAUUAUAAGGUCAGUGGGAGUAAGUUUAUAUUUUUAAUAUAAUUUGUCAGAUUUGCUAUAUUUAUUUAAAAGUGAAGAAUUGCUAUAUUUAUUUAAAAGUGAAGAAUUGCUAUAUUUAUUUAAAAGUGAAGAAUGUUGCACGAAAUCAAGAUAUCUUUAACGAAAAUUUAGCAAUGAAAGAUCUUGCAGACGUCUCUUUUUGUAUUAGAUAUUAUGAUACUUAAAGAUCAUUCUCAUGGUAUCCUUAAGGUAUCACAAAAGUGCUAUAUCAAUAAAAUUAUAAAUAUAUUUGACGCCAAAGACAUUCUAUUGUGGAGAGUCUUAUGAAUGAUCUUAUUUAUAUCGUAUGUAUAGAUAUUGAAUUCGCACUUCAAGAAAUUCAGUUUAAUCUCACUAAAGAUUUCAGUUGAAAAUAGACAUCAUAUGAAGAUCAAAUAGGCAUCAAUUAAUUGUCAUGUCACUCAUCCAUAUCAAUAUAUAUCAUAAAGUGCAUUGAUGUGGUGGUCAUCAUGGUUUAAUCACAUUAUAAGUCAGUAACGACAGUCGUUGGGGUCUCAUUAUUGAUGUAGGAGAUGUACCAUAUUAUAAAGGAGAAAUCUAAAGAUAAAUAUCAUUUGGAUUUGCACUUAAAAAAUAAUGAUAUAUUUAUUAAGAUAUAUUGUUCAAGUGGGAUAUUGUUGAAAUAUUUAAUUUAAUUAUGAUAUUAUUAUGUGGGUACAUAUCUUUAUUUAAUUAUAUUAGUUAUUUAACAAUUAUGAACUUUAAUGAUCAAAUUAAGUAAUAAGACUAAUUAGAUUUCUAAUUUUAUAAUUAAUUAAAUAUUUAAUUAAUUGAUAUUGUCUCAAUAUAAGUGGAUGUCACCGAUGGUUCAUUUGAGAAUAAUGGAAAUACUAAUUGGCCAUCAACCUAUUUAUAGGCUAUGAUCUUCAAUAUUCUAGACAUGUGGCAUAUUACAUCUCCUCCACANNNNNNNNNNNNNNNNNNNNNNNNNNNNNNNNNNNNNNNNNNNNNNNNNNNNNNNNNNNNNNNNNNNNNNNNNNNNNNNNNNNNNNNNNNNNNNNNNNNNNNNNNNNNNNNNNNNNNNNNNNNNNNNNNNNNNNNNNNNNNNNNNNNNNNNNNNNNNNNNNNNNNNNNNNNNNNNNNNNNNNNNNNNNNNNNNNNNNNNNNNNNNNNNNNNNNNNNNNNNNNNNNNNAAGGUAUAAGGAGUCUAGACUGAGAAAGAACCACAAGCCAAUGAAUGUUCUUUAUCCGUCUCUUUGUUUCAUGAUCGAUCUUAAUGUUUAUAGCAUGUACCUUUGACUAUUAAAUUUCCACAAUAUAGUAUAUAUAAAAACAUACAUUAUUUGAUGAAUUAGUAAAUUAAUUCCAAUAUUAACUCCUAUAGACGGGCCGACAUUUCUUGUAAUUAGAGAAUUCUAAAUUCUCAAAGUCAAAUAAAUCGGAGCCAUAAAAAAGAGAUGAAACGAUAUAAAUAUCAAAAAUGCUUUGCAUUUUAGUGCUUAUUUUAUGCUAGAACAAUAUAAUUGCUUUUAAGCAUCCUAAGGUGAAGAAAAAAAAAAUAUGAAAGAGUAGCAAUAGUCACUUUAGUUCAAACUAGCCCUACCAUUUCCCACUCCCUUCCCCUGCUUCUAUCCCAUUUUGUAAAGGACAAAUAAUUAUCUUAUAAAACUUAAACAAAAAUGAAGUUGUAUCCCACUUUUCAUCCAUUACCAUUACCAUAGCAAUAAAACUUAAACAAAAAUGAAGUUGUAUCCCACUACCAAAGUAACCUCUCUUUGGAAUUGUAGCACAAAUUUCCUUUUUCUCUUUUCCUCCUUUAAAUUUUAUUGAUUCCAUUUAUCAAGGUUGCCACUUAAAACUAAAAAGUACUACAAUAUUCUCUUUUCCUUCCAUUUAUUCUCUUUUUAAUGUGGUCUCUACUACUAUAUAAACCAUGCUCAUUAUCACAUUUUCUCAUCAAUUUAUUCUCUUCAGCUUCUCUAUCUUUAAUAGCUCAAGUUAUUGUGUUAUCUCGAGGUUGGUCUUUGUAUUUUCAUUUCUAAUUCCCCCCCUCAUUUUUCUCUCAGUUUCAUAAUAUGUUUUUUAUUUAUUUAAAAUCUACUAACUUUUUUUAUGUUAAUCUUGUCAUCUAAUCUUCAACAAUGUUAUCUAUUACAAUGAUCUAUUAUGUCAACCUCAUAACCUGUUUUGUAGUUUUCAAAGUCAAUCCAUAACUUUUUUAUUUUAUUUUAUUCCUUUAUUAUAAUAAGCAAAAUUCUAGAUAUCAAGCUAGUUUAGUUAAUACCUAUUACCAUUCUCAAACUCCUAUGUAUGUGUAUAAAAAUGAGCCAAUGAUUAGAUAGGGAAAAUAUCAACUUUUGGUAAAAAAAAUAGUUUCUUUAAAAAAAAAAUCAAAUUUUUAAACAGUGUUCGUGGUUUAUAUAUUGCAAAAAAUAGAGUUAAAAGGUUGAUGUGACAUCAAUUAUUGUCACUGAUACAUAAAAAAAAUUGAUGUGACAAUCUAAAUUACAGAUAUAAACAAUUUUUAUUAUAAACUUGAUAACUUUUUUAAAUUCUGGACUAAAACAUUUUUUGAUUUCUCGAACAAACUCCAAAUUAGAAAGAAAAAAAGAUUACUAUUUUAUAGUUUCGUCAACGCUUAUGACUUACACAUAUGAUUUUCUAAUAAAAAUUGUUGAAUGUAACAGUAACUUGCAGAGAAAGCAAACAUGAGUAGGCCGGGAGAUUGGAACUGCAGGUCGUGCCAUCACCUAAAUUUUCAAAGGCGCGAUUCGUGCCAAAGAUGUGGCGAUUCAAAAUUCGGAGAAAGAGUUGAGUAUGGAACUUUUGGAGGAAGAGGAGGAUCUUCAUUUGGUUUAAGUGGCUCAGAUGUUCGUCUAGGUGAUUGGUACUGUGCUGCUGGUAAUUGUGGUGCACAUAACUUUGCUAGUCGUUUAAGUUGCUUCAAGUGUGGUGCUUUCAAAGAUGAGUUAGUUGGAGGAUAUAAUAAUAACAAUAGUGACAUUUUGGGUUCAAGGGCUUUUGGUGGAAGUGGAAAACCAGGAUGGAAAUCCGGUGAUUGGAUGUGUAACAGGUAAUUGUGUCAAUAUAUUUUACAUCAACAUCUAAUCAUAUUUUAUCAUCGUGUUAUAUUGUCAUAAAAUUUUAAAAAUUAAUAUUACGAAGUAAUAAGAUGAUGAAAUAUAAUUAGAUAUUUUUUUGAAAAUAUUUAUUUAUGUUAUUGGUUCAAGAUGAAUAUAGUUAUUAAACUUUUUUUUUUUUACAAGAGAAAACUUUUUAUUUUAUAUCUUAUACCAUCUUUUGAUAAUGUUCCUAAUGAAGGAACAACUUAUGCUUUUUGUUAGCCAUGUCUUUGAAGUUUAAAGAAUAUGACAUGUGACAUAGCUGAUACAUGACAUAGUUGAUACACAACACUGAUGUUUAUCUAAUUUAAUAUUGUAAUUUAUCAUUAAACGGUGUUGCUAUUCAAUAAUUAAAAAUUACAAUAAGCUAUAAAUUAUAAUCAUUUUUAAUAUGAUAGAAACCAGACACUAUUGAGGUUGUAGGCAUGCAAUUCAUAUCUUUAUUGAAUCCCCUUUUCUUUUUUGACUGCUUUUAGGAGCUACACAGAAAACUACUUGUACUUAUUGGCCCUUUAUGCUUGGUUAUCUUAAAUUAAAAAUAUGGCUAUAUUUUUGUACCUAUUUUUUAUUUUUUAUUUUUGUGUCUUAAUUUGUGUACUUAUUUAAAUAGUUAAAAAAUUGGUCUUUAUGUUUUUUUUUCUUUGAACAGAUUAGGAUGCAAUGAACACAACUUUGCUAGCAGAAUGGAAUGUUUCAAAUGCAGUGCGCCAAGAGACACAUACUAGAAAUGAGAUUAUCCAAGCAAAAAAUUAGAAAGACUACAUCAAUUACAAGAGAUGCUUCAAGAUUUCAUUAUUAGUUACUAUGAAAUGUUAAGGCUUGUGAUUUCUGAAAAAGUGUUAUGAAAUGUCAUGUUAAAAAGAAACCACAACCCUUAGGCUCUUCUUUAGAUUUUCCUUAAUUAAAAACUAUGAUAAUGUUAUUUUGGUGCUUUAAACUAUUUUAUUAUCUUUAGUCUGUGUUAGAGAGUUCAUUUAUUGUAUUGUGCGUUGUUUUCUUAAAUGUUGGUGAAUUUUUAUUUUCUUAUCUCAUGAAAAUCAACUAUAGUACUUCCUAAAUGUAUGUGUGAGAUUGAGAGGGUGUGAUGCCAUAAUCCAUCAUUCAUCUUAUUUCAUGAGUUAGAUCAAUUUAUUCUAUAAUAUUGGACAUCAAUGGUCGUUUUUUUGCAUACGUUCUUUUUUAUUUUAUUAAAAACAAUAUUUAUUUGGUUGUUGAAAUUCAAAUUGUUUUAGGAAUGUGAAUUUUGUGUUUGACUAUUCAUAUUAUGAAAAGAAGCUAAUAUGGAUAAAAUGUGAAAUGUCAAUUAAAGGUACAAAGUAUGAAAUUAUGCUUAACCGUCUAAUAUAUUUUGAUUAUUUUGGAUAGAAACCGAAAAGUCAAUGAAACUAAAAAGAAUGAAUUUCGCUUAAUCGUCUAUUUAUUAAUAGAUAUAAGCUAGAAUGUUAAUUCAGGCUAAAAUAAAUAAUGAAUUUUGUAGAGUGGUAAAUAAGGCUAAAAGAAAAAUGAUUUUGUCACAAAAUGUUGUUGGUGUUUUUGAAAAAUAUUCGACAAAUGUUUUGAUAGAAUAUAUUCUUGAGUUUGAUGAUGAAGUAAAUUUGAAUUAUGCACUUGCUCCAUCUUUUUUAUAUUUGACGAAAGUCGUUGAUAUUGAAAUAACGAUGAUACCAAAGUAUCGAAAAAAGUCGGUAGAUUUUGGUAAAGUUUUGUUGAAAAACACCUUGCCCUUAAUGUCCAUUGUCUGAUGGAGUUUUUUCUUAUUAUUAUCAUCAUGAUGAAAUAAUUGUAACUUGAAAUUUGAUGGAAAAAUAUAAGAAAAUGAAGAAAUAAGUUUUGAAUAGGGAAAUAAAAAGAGGAAAAUGGAUAAAUUAUUCAAGAAUCAAAUGAGAUAGAAAAGAUAAAUCAAUUAAGUUUUAAAAAAAAAAUAGAAGAAAUUUUUGAGAAAAAAUAAAUUGCGGAAUUAUUAAUUAUCUAACACCAUACUACGAUUCUUUAUUUAAGUCAUUGAUAAAAGAAAAAUUACAUAGACUUAUAUAAUUAAUUAAAUAAAACAACAAACUAAUAUAAAAUAACUAACUAACUAAUUUAAUUAUUUAAUUAGAAUUGAUCUUAAUAUGUCCAUGAAAGAGUGCUAAGGUUGCAUAUAUUUUAGGCAGGAUGCCUAAUUCGUUGUAUUAUAAAAUUUCUAUACUGAAUCUGAAUGUGUAUUAAUAUAUUAUUUUAAGGGCAUUAAAUUUUGAAUUUUAUUUUAACUCUCUAGUUUUAAAGAAUUCCAACAGAUGAUUCCUCGUAAACUGAAAUUUAUUAACGACUUGAAUUUAAUCAACUGCAUUAAUAAAUUUUUUAAUAUUAAUUGACAUAAUUGAUGUAUAAAAAUAAACUUAGUUCCAUCCUUUCUAGACUUCCCUGACUUAGUUAGCAAGAACGCAAAUCACAUUGGAUUCCUUUCACUGAAUGUAAAGUAUACCUUUAAAAAGGAAGUGUAUUGUGGAUUCAAAAGAUGAACUCAAAAAUCCAUAACUAAAUGUGUUUUUUUAUGUAGGACUCUUGUCUUCCUUUCAGGCCGGCUUUAUGUUAGUGAAGGGCUCCUCCAAUUCUUUUAAGGCAAACUUUAUGUUGGUGAAGUGUCUUCAAAUAUAGAUAAUAUACGAGAUACAUGGCUUUUUUUUAAUAACUAUUAUGUUGUUAUUGGCAUCGGGGUCGUGUAUAGAUUUAUUGGGGUCAUUGACAAAUCAUAGUCUUUAAUGUGCAUUUUAAUUCUAUGAGUACCUCAAACUUUAUUAGGCCAACAACAACAAAAAGAGAAAAGAAUUACGGUAUAUUAGUUUUCAACAUUUUGGAAUUUAAUUAAUAUUUACUUAUACAGUUAAUAGUAUGAAAUUAAGAUUUUCUAAACCAUUACAAAUAUUAUACAAAUUGAUACAGAGUCUAAAAUGAAUGUUUUAAUCGUCUUACUUGUUACAGGGCUCUGACUUCCACUUUCUUUAGAAAUCUCCAGUGUUAACGUGUAAAUUCAGAAGUUGAAUGACAAUAUUUCUUCUUUUCAAUAAGGGACAUUUUCGUUGACCAAACAAGAUUUUCCUUUUGUUUUUGGUUCAUCAAGUUAGAACUCAUUUCAUUAUUUUCCUUGAAGUCAUUAGCUUUCUUAUUUGAAGGGUAAAAAUAGCUAUGAGGAUAAAUGAGGGAAAAGGAUAAUGAGCCAACAGUGGUUGGGUGGGUCUAGGAGACAAUAAGGAUAAAUGAGCGAAAUGUACCAUGCCCCCCCCCCNNNNNNNNNNNNNNNNNNNNNNNNNNNNNNNNNNNNNNNNNNNNNNNNNNNNNNNNNNNNNNNNNNNNNNNNNNNNNNNNNNNNNNNNNNNNNNNNNNNNNNNNNNNNNNNNNNNNNNNNNNNNNNNNNNNNNNNNNNNNNNNNNNNNNNNNNNNNNNNNNNNNNNNNNNNNNNNNNNNNNNNNNNNNNNNNNNNNNNNNNNNNNNNNNNNNNNNNNNNNNNNNNNNNNNNNNNNNNNNNNNNNNNNNNNNNNNNNNNNNNNNNNNNNNNNNNNNNNNNNNNNNNNNNNNNNNNNNNNNNNNNNNNNNNNNNNNNNNNNNNNNNNNNNNNNNNNNNNNNNNNNNNNNNNNNNNNNNNNNNNNNNNNNNNNNNNNNNNNNNNNNNNNNNNNNNNNNNNNNNNNNNNNNNNNNNNNNNNNNNNNNNNNNNNNNNNNNNNNNNNNNNNNNNNNNNNNNNNNNNNNNNNNNNNNNNNNNNNNNNNNNNNNNNNNNNNNNNNNNGAGGUUUUCCAUGGAGCUUCCAACAUGUAUCACGUGUGUGCCAUGGACGUUUGCAAUGUUCGCACCAUGGUUUCUUGUCAGCGCUCUUCCUGUCUUCAUUCUUAGUGACUAGGGCAGAGCUUUCAACCUCACCAACAGAAGGUGACUUACCUAUCAUAACACCUUGUCUCGCCUCUUCUCUUCUAACUUAUGAGAACGCUUCCUGAAGUGAUGGCAAUGGGAUCUUUCCCAAUAUUCUGCCUCGAACUUCAUCAAACCGCUUAUUAAGCCCAAUCAAGAACAUGAAUACACGGUCGUUCUCCUGUCUCUUAAGAAACAAAACAUUGUCGUCACAACACUUCCAAUGAUCAUCAUAGUAGAGAUCCAAUUCUUGCCAUAGUGUCAUCAACUCAUUAUAAUAGGUAGUGGCAUCUCUAUCUCCUUGUUUGGCAUGCCACAAUCGUGAUUUGAGAUCGAAAAUUUGAGAAGAAUUCUGAAUAACAGAAUAUGUCUCUUUGACAGCCUCCCAAACUUCCUUCGCGGCAAAAACAUAAAAGGUUUUCUGAUUGUUGAUUACAUAUUACUAAGCAGCCAAGCAAUAAUAACAAAGUUCUCAAAUUUCCAAAACCUGUAAUUCAGAUUAGUUGUGGCAUGCAUCUGCACCUCUCCUGUUAGGAAACCAUAUAUUCCCUUACCGUUUAAAAUCAAUCUUGCGGUUUGGGACCAUUCGACAUAAUUUUUUCCAUUUAGUUUAUGGAUUUCAACCUUGAGGGCAUUAGAAGUUCUCUCAUGGCCAAAAAAGUUGGAAAAACCAUGGUUAGAUAAACCAUUCUGGCCGCCUGGGCCGUUGGCACUGCUGCCUAGGGCGCUGCCUAAAUUGUCGGCGUUGUUGACUACUUCUGAUUUUUUACCCAAACCAUGGUCGUUGUUGUCGCCGCUACCCAUAAGGGCAGCUCAGUUGGUUGGAGCGCCAAAUCCUAGUGGGUUGUGUGGAAAGGUUUACAGAACCCUAACCAGAGCUCUUGAUACCAUGAAGAAAGUAAAAGACAAAAUACUUUCAUAUUUUAUUACUAUAGCCCUAAGCUAUUUAUAUAGGGGAAAAAAUUACAAUAGUAAUACUGAGUAAUAAUGACAGAAUGAAAAUAAAUAUAAUAAUAUAAAAUAAAAGAGAAUAAAAUCUAAUUUAUCUUGAUUCUUCAACACUAAGUAACAGUAACCUAUUGUCUAUUGGGGCCUAGAAACCACGUAGAAUAAGCGGGAAAUGAGUGUUAAAUGAGGGAGAAUGAGGGGGACAUAUGGUGUAAUUGUGUCUGAACUACACAUUAGAGUCAAUUUUAUAUAAGUUCAAGGCUAUAAAUACAAGAUAUUAUCCCUAUUUACGUGAUAUGGGGAGCCCCUAAUAUGGUCCCCAAAUUUAAGGGACUACUAGUGAACCUCUACAGUUAACUUGCUAUAGGAAGUCCCUCUAAACACAUUUAAGUCAAAAUUAAUUUUCAAUUGAACUCAUCUUUGUCGCCCGACGCCGGUCAUAUCAAUUUGGUUCCUUUCAAAGUUUGAAAACCUCAUUGUGACUGUGUUCCUCUGUUUCCACAAGUGACAACCACAACCUAAUACCAAGUAAUUGUGUGCUUUUCUGUUUGCCCAUUUAUGUGAAUGGUUUGUUAUCGUUCAAUGGGAUUUCAAGACCGUGGUUUCUCAUGUAGGUUGAGUUCUUCCAUGAGUUGUUUGUGGAUUUUUUGGUAGCGUUUUUAGUUUUGAUCAUAGGAUUAUAUAUUGUGAUGUUUUUAGUGGAGUCACUGUACCAAUCUUACCCGAUAAUGUUGUGAGAACAUUGGGUAAGAGACAUGGACAUAGGUUGAGUUUUUGCUACAUAAGAUUUUUUGAAGGUGGCCGCUUUAGAUUUACUCACCGACUGAAAGGCAAUAACACAAUCAUAGUGAGGGCUUCAAACUUUACUAGCUCAAUUGAAAAUUGAUAUUUUCCCAAAUGAGUUUGGUGUAGGAGAAGGAAAUAAGGGAAUGGAAUUGGAAUGUAAAAAAAUCCUAAAACCCAAAUAAACUUUAAUAAUUCCCUAUCUGUUAGAAUAUUAGAAAAAUAUCUUAUAAUAUCUAUUAUAUUAUAUUAGAGUAUCUUGGGUUAUUUUCUAGGAUCAAUUUAUAAUCAUAGAGAUUAUCUCUCAUUAUUAUUAUGAUUUAUUCUUGAUUUAGGAUUGAGUUUAUGUUUCUCUAUAAAUAGAGAUUGAUAUUGAGUCUUUUGUAAUAAAAAGUCAGCAUUAAGCUAUUAUCAAUAAUAUUCAAACUCUUAUUAUUUUCUCUUUCCUUUUCUCUAAAAUCCCACAACUUCAACAUGGUAUCUAGAGCCUAUUUCGAUCCUCCUUGAAUGAUCCUGCCUCUAUUUCCCUGCCAAGUUCCCAACAGUUAGGGAAUAUAAUCAUAGUUUCUCUUUUCCAACAUUCCGGCACGUUUCACUCGUUUUCUGUUCAAUUCACUACUGCCGUUGCUGCCACUAUUUCCAGCAAAUUUUCCUGUGAACAUCGUCGUCAAUUACAGAUCAGGUCAUGUCCGAAAGCGCGUCGCCAAAAGCCGUCACACGAGCUCUCAUGCCCUGCUAAUCUCUCAUGCAAGUAGAUCUGCUGCCGCCGUCUGCUGCUCUCUGCCGUCGCUGCUGGAAAAGUUUUCCGACACAACCACUUCCAAUUUGUGCAGAAUCUCCCAAUCUACACAACCCAAAUUUUUUUAGGUCAAAAGUUGCUCCACACACGCUCAUGUGUCUCCAAGAUUCGUCAUGUUCAUCUCACGCGCCGCCACCUCCAGCCUCGAGCUCAGGCGCGUCUGUCUUCCGGCAUAAUGUUUCAGUCGUCUAGAUUGAGUUUUCCUUCCUGGUUCCAGAUUUGUUUUAAGUUUUUUCUUUCAAGCCACAUGCAUACAGCUUGACAAUUUAUCCCAGAUACACUAGCCCCAUCUUUGUCCCAGAUAUACUGGCCUUGCCUUUCUCUCCCUGAAGCAUGCCUCUCUCUCCUUUAAGCAAAUUCAAGUUUAAAUAUUUUGAGUCUCUGAUAUUAUUGGUUUGAAGCUUCCAAAUGCAGUUUUUUAUAAGGACAUAAACUUUGCUUUGUUCAAUUGCUUGUCAUGAAUUUCUCUCAUGCUGAUAAUCAUUCCGGCUAUCUGGCUAGGCUGUAUUUAUGGCAAUUCUCUCCGACUUCACCUGCAUCCCUGAGUUGUCUUUCCAUUUUCUUUUAUUAUUUUGCGGAUCAAAACAUUGUUUUCUUGUAACAAGGGAGUGUUAGAAUAUUAGAAAAAUAUCUUAUAAUAUCUAUUAUAUUAUAUUAGAGUAUCUUGGGUUAUUUUCUAAGAUCAAUUUAUAAUCAUAGAGAUAUCUUAGAAUAUCUAUCAUUAUUAUUAUGAUUUAUUCUUUAUUUAGGAUUGAAUCUAUGUUUCUCUAUAAAUAAAGAUUGAUAUUGAGUCUUUUGUAAUAAAAAGUCAACAUUAAACUAUUAUCAAUAAUAUUCAAACCCUUAUUAUUUUUUCUUCUCCUUUUCUCUAAAAUCCCACAACUUCAACACUAUCAAACCCCAAAAAACAAUAACCGGUUGUGUAACCAGUCAGUUAUAGACACCUAUGGCCCCUUAAAAUUGAGGACCAUAUUAGGGACUCCCACUGAUAGAGCUAAGAAGGACUGUAGGCCACCUAUUACUAAAGUGUAUGUGAGGCGCCAGCCUGGCACUAAAUGAAAAUAACUAACUAGUGAAUAAUAGUUAGUGGGAAUAGAAUAAAUAGGAGGGAAAUAGAGGAAUGGGGGUUAAUUUUGGAAACAGUGGAGUAGGAGUAACUGAUUCUGGGAAUCAGUUAGAGAUUUCUGUUUUCUUCCCCAUCUAUCUGUUUUCUUCCCAUCUAUCUGUUUUGCUUCUUUCUCUACAAUUCCUUGUAAUUCUUCUAUUCAAUCAAUAAUACAAAGAGAUUAGGGUUCAUUGAUCCUAAUCCACCAUUCAGUUUCAAUUACGCUAUUUGUUCCUAAUUGAUACCGGUAUUAACACUGGUAUCAGAGCACCGAUCCUGGUGCCCUGAAUUCCACGCUUGGAGUUGCUGCGUAUGAGGACGAGAAGCAUGGCGAGAGCCAAUGACGAUUGGGAACAGGAACAUGAAGAGAUGAAAACUCGACUUGAGUUUGCAGAAGCUCUGGCGAAGAAACAUGAGGAUCAAAUCGCUGAUUUGUUGAUGAAAUUUGGCUCGAAUCGUGAACAGGGUAGUCCGUUUCAGGAAGGAACUGGAAGUAAUGGAGGUCACACUGAACAAGUUCAUCGUAGGGAGAAAUGGCGGAAAUUGGAGAUUCCAAUUUUUGCGGGAGAAGAUGCUUGUGGAUGGACACAGAUUGGAACGAUACUUUUUGUUAAAGGAGGUAACCGAGGAAGAAAAGAUGCAAGCUACAGUCAUGGCUCUAGAAGGAAAAGCGUUGAGUUGGUACCAUUGGUGGGAGAAAUGCAACCCUAACCCUAAUUGGGAAGGUUUUAAGAUUGUUGUGGUACGUAGAUUCCAACCUUCAAUGGUUCAGAAUCCUUUUGAGCAAUUGUUAUCCUUGAAACAAACAGGCACCGUAGAUGAGUAUGUCGAGAAUUUUGAAAAAUACGUGGGAGCCAUGGGAACCAUUGAUCAAGAAUUUGUGAGAGGAAUAUUCUUGAAUGGACUCAAACAGGAGCUACAAGCUGAGGUAAAAUUGUAUGAGCUUAACUCCUUAUCAGAAAUGAUUCAAAAAGUUAUAUUGAUUGAACAAAAGAACAUGUUAGUCAAUAUGAAAAAUGGUUAUAGUUAUGCUUCUAGAACUAACGGCAAUUCACGUAGCAUGCCCUAUUCUAAAACUAUAACCCUAGAAUCAAAGUUGAGUUCAGAUCAGAAAAGCAGUAACAUGAGUGGGAUUGGCCAGAGUCAAAGUGUGGAAAGUGUUAAAAACAGAGGAGGGGAGUUUAAACAUUUAACCAAUGCUGAAGUCAAAGAGAAAAGAGAAAAAGGGUUAUGUUUUAGAUGUGAUGAACCUUAUAAUAGAGAACAUCGAUGUAAAAACAGACAAUUUAAGAUGAUCAUUAUGGAAGAAGAGGAGGAAGAAGGAGUGGAAGAAGGGGAGGAACCCCUUCAGUCUUUUAGAUCUUUGCAUCUAUCAUUGUGUUCCAUGUCUGGAUUCACUACGACUAGAUCUUGGAAAGUGGAGGGAUUGUUAGAAGGUGUAGCAGUGGUCAUCCUAAUUGAUUGUGGUGCUUCCCACAAUUUCAUAGCUACUGAGUUGGUGGAAAGACUGCACUUAACAGUUAUGGAAACCUCUCCUUACAUGGUAGAAGUAGGAGAUGGACAUAAAGUAAGAUGCAAGGGAAAGUGUGCACAGUUAAAAUUUCAGAUGCAGAACUUAGAAGCAAUCCAAGACUUUUAUUUGUUCACACUCAAGGGGGUUGACAUGGUGUUAGGCUUGGAUUGGCUAGCAGGGUUGGGAGAAAUUAAAGCAGAUUUUGGAAAGCUGGAACUAACUCUGAAACAAGGAGAAAAGUUCAUCAGAAUAGCUGGAAAUCCAGCCUUAACUAGAACUGAACUCCCUUUUAGAGCACUGAUGCAAGUUUUAAAAGAAGAAGGUGAGGGAUUAUUAAUUCAAUGUGAAAGAACCAAGACGGAAUUAGAUUCUCAAAAGACCCUACCAAAAAAUUUUCUGAAUUUACUAGACGAAUUUGAUGAGGUAUGUUCAGACCCAAAGGAGCUGCCUCCAUUUAGAAAGCAUGAUCAUGCUAUCCAUCUCAAAGAAGGAGCUUCAAUUCCUCAUUUGAGGCCUUACAAGUACCCACAUUAUCAGAAAACAGAGAUAGAAAGAUUGGUAGCAGAGAUGCUGGAAUCUGGGGUAAUUAGACACAGUAUUAGUCCAUAUUCAAGUCCUAUUAUACUAGUGAAAAAGAAGGAUGGGGGGUGGAGGUUUUGUGUAGAUUAUAGAGCAUUGAACAAGAUAACGAUACCUAACAAAUUCCCUAUUCCAAUUAUAGAGGAACUUUUGGAUGAAAUUGGUGGAGCCACUGUGUUCACUAAAUUGGACUUGAAAUUGGGUUAUCAUCAGAUCAGAAUGAAGGAAACUGAUAUUGAAAAAACAGCUUUUAGAACUCAUUAAGGUCAUUAUGAGUUUGUGGUGAUGCCUUUUGGCUUGACUAAUGCCCCUUCUACAUUCCAAGCUCUAAUGAAUGAGGUUUUAAGACCCUUUUUGAGACAAUUUGCAUUGGUUUUCUUUGAUGACAUCUUGGUUUAUAGUAGAGAUGAGGUUGCACAUGAAGAUCAUUUGCGGAAAGUGCUGGAAGCAUUAAGAGGAAAUUCCUUACUGGUCAACAAAAAAAAAUGUAGUUUUGUUCAGCCAAGCCUAGAGUAUUUGGGUCAUGUUAUCUCUGAGGCAGGAGUGACAGCCGACCAGACAAAGGUAGAGGCUGUAAAAUCUUGGCUUGUUCCUAAAGACUUGAAGAGUUUAAGAGGAUUUUUGGGGCUGACAGGCUAUUAUAGGAGAUUUGUACAGAAUUAUGGUAGAAUCACCAAGCCCUUGACUGACUUAUUGAAGAAGGACAAUUUUGUGUGGAAUGAGGAAGCCACUACAGCAUUCCAAACUCUGAAACAGGCCAUGGUUAGUUUACCAUUGUUAGCAGUACCUGAUUUUUCUAAGACAUUUAUUGUUGAAACUGAUGCAUCUAGUAAAGGGCUAGGGGCUGUCUUGAUGCAAGAAGGGAAACCUUUAGCUUUUUGGAGUAAAGGUCUUUCCCCCAGAGCUCAAGCUAAAUCAGUUUAUGAGAGAGAGUUGAUGGCUUUGGUACAAGCUGUUCAGAAAUGGAAACACUACCUCAUGGGUAGACAUUUUGUUAUAAAGACUGACCAAAGGAGUUUGAAAUUCCUCACAGAUCAAAGGUUGUUUAGUGAGGAGCAAUUCAAGUGGGCAGUGAAACUCAUAGGUUUGGAUUUUGAGAUCCAGUUUAAACCUGGCAAAGAGAAUACAGUAGCAGAUGCAUUGUCAAGAAAAACCAUGUAUACUGCUAUCUCUGUAAUUGAUUUGGCUGAUGCUGAAGAUUGGUUUCAAGAAAUGGAAACUGAUCCUAAAUGGAAGAAGGUGAUCCAGGAUUUAGCUUGUGAUCCUAAUGCUCAUCCUGGUUUUCAAUUUCAAGCAGGCAGAUUGUUAUACAAAGGAAGACUGGUUUUGAAAAAGGGUUCUAACAAAAUUCCUCUGAUUUUAGCUGAAUGCCAUGACAGUGUGACUGGAGGCCAUUCGGGAUUUUUCAGAACCUACAAGAGAGUUUCCAGUUUUUUCUACUGGGAAGGUAUGAGAAGCUAUGUAAAGCAGUAUGUAGAGGCUUGUGAUAUCUGUCAAAGACAGAAAUAUUCCACAUUAGCCCCUGCAGGUUUGUUACAGCCAUUACCAAUACCAACACAGGUGUGGCAAGACAUUUCUAUGGAUUUUAUUUCUGGUUUGCCUAAAACUAAGGGCAAGGAUACUAUAUUUGUGGUAGUGGACAGACUCACAAAAUAUGCUCAUUUUUAUCCACUUGGGCAUCCUUUCAAUGCAAAGGAUGUGGCUGCUUUGUUUGUCAAAGAAGUAGUUCGUUUACAUGGAUUUCCUACAUCCAUCGUUUCAGACAGGGAUCCGAUAUUUUUGAGUCAAUUCUGGCAGGAAUUGUUCAGAUUGGCUGGAACUACACUCAAGUACAGCACUGCGUAUCACCCUCAGACAGAUGGCCAGACUGAGGUGGUCAAUAGGAGUUUGGAAACUUAUCUCAGGUGCUUUGCUGGACCUAAACCAAAAAGUUGGGUGGACUGGCUCUCUUGGGCAGAAUUUUGGUUUAACACCACCUACAACAUUUCAGCUGGAAUGACCCCUUUCAAGGCUUUGUAUGGAAGAGAUCCCCCGACAAUGAUUAAAGGGUGUACUUUUACUUCUAAGAUAGACGUAGUUAACCAACUGUUGAUGUCACGGGAUUUGAUUUUACAAGAGUUACAACAGAAUUUGUUGAAAGCUCAAGAUGUUAUGAAAACACAGGCCAACAAACAUAGAAGACAAGUUGAAUAUGAAGUAGGGGAUUGGGUAUUUUUAAAACUUCAGCCUUAUAAGCUGAAGUCUUUGGCUCGUAGACCUAUCGCGAAACUCUCUGCUAAAUUCUAUGGUCCUUAUCAAAUCCUUGAGAGGAUUGGUCCAGUUGCAUAUCGCUUAGAACUUCCAGAAUCUGCUAGAGUUCAUCCAGUUUUCCAUGUAUCUUUGCUAAAGAAAGCUUUGAAGCAGGGUCACCAACAGCAGCCAUUACCACCAAUGCUUUCUGAGGAAUUUGAAUUACAAGUGGAGCCAACUGAUAUUUUGCAAUGUAGGGAGGAUAAGGAUGGGAAUUUGGAGGUCUUGGUCCAGUGGGAUCAGUUACCAGCAUGUGAUAAUUCGUGGGAACUUGCUACACAAUUGCAGCACUCUUUUCCUCGGUUUCCCCUUGAGGACAAGGUCAUUCUUUUGGGGGGGAGUAUUGAUAGAGCUAAGAAGGACUGUAGGCCACCUAUUACUAAAGUGUAUGUGAGGCGUCAGCCUGGCACUAAAUGAAAAUAACUAAGUAGUGAAUAAUAGUUAGUGGGAAUAAAAUAAAUAGGAGGGAAAUAGAGGAAUGGGGGUUAAUUUUGGAAACAGUGGAGUAGGAGUAACUGAUUCUGGGAAUCAGUUAGAGAUUUCUGUUUUCUUCCCCAUCUAUCUGUUUUCUUCCCAUCUAUCUGUUUUCCUUCUUUCUCUACAAUUCCUUGUAAUUUUUCUAUUCAAUCAAUAACAAAGAGAUUAGGGUUCAUUGAUCCUAAUCCACCAUUCAGUUUCAAUUACGCUAUUUGUUCCUAAUUGAUACCGGUAUUAACAGAGGCUAAAACUUAUUUGCUUUAUAUUGGGUUUGAAUGUUGGUAGCAAUGAACAUCGAUUAUUAGUUAUGAAUAUGUCUUUAGUCAAUGUUUGUUGUUCUUCUAUUUUUUUGCUUUUAAGUGUAUAGAAAAUACUUCUUGUAUUGUUUCUCUAAACUUCGACGUAGAGGCCAUAGCACUAUCUGCUAUUCACGCUAUAGUGUUUUGGGGGUUGGUCGCUACGCUCUAUUAUCCACCAUUAAUUAACUACAUUGCUUUCAAAAUAAAAAUUGUUUUUACAAUUUUAACCAAACAAAAAAUAACUUUUGCUUAUGUAAUAUCUUGGAAAAUAUUUAUAAAAAAAUUUGAAAAUACUUUUUUAAAGUUGAAACAAACAGAACCUUAAUUUAUCCAAUUUAAAAUUCCAUUAUCAUGAAGUAGGCAAAUGCCUGGCCAGGUCAGUAACUAGUUUAUUGAUUAGCCUCCGCUUUGUCUGUUUCGUAGCAGUAUUCAAAUUCUACAUACAUCUAUAGAAAGAUGUAAUGUUACCGGCUCCAAUUCUUCUCUAUAUCAACUUUGCUAAGUGUAAUAUCUUUCAAAUUAAGUUGACUUCUACUGCUAUUAAUAUGCAAGUUUUACAACAGCUGGGUAUGCAGUAAAUCACAUUUACUAUUACUAUCCAUUAUUUUCAUAGCAAAAGCCUGUCGAUAAAUAAACCUUGAAUUGACAAAUGUAGACUGUAAAUUAUUAAAAAAAAUGAUUCAGAAGAUUCGAAAGGCAUAAAGCCACAACACAUGCAAGUUUUCCCCAAGAAAAUAGUUCCCGAGUAUCAAGUGAUUUUCAAAAUGAUAACACUACUAGUACUAGUACCACUCAUCUUCCCUAGGUAACCCUUUAAGUAUUCAGGUAUCCUAAAAACUCAAUUUUAAUUCCAAAAGUAUGAAAUUCUAAAUAGUUAAUUUAACUAUAAAAAUCAGAUAUCAAAUUUUCAUUUACAUUUCAAAAAGAAAUCAUCAUAGAAAAACAAAGGAAAAAGAGUAAGUAGGGUAGAAGUUCCUUCUAUUUGAAUGGCUCGAAGCCAUGAACACACUGUGUUUUAAAUUAAGUGAGGGUUCACAAGUAGUUUUAUAAUUUUAUUUAUCAAGUGAAAAGGCUUUUGAUUGGAAUUGGUUGAUCAAAGUUCACAGAUAGUUUUACUUAAACGGUUUGCCACUAAAUACGAUUUAUAAUAGAUUGUAACGCUGUUAGGCAUAAGUAGCCAACCUCAUUUAGUAGAAAAAUACUUUUAUCAUUUUAAUAGGUGAACGUGAACUUUAGUAGCAAGAUUGGAAGAAUGGCUGAGCACUUCUAAAGUAGGUUUUGGGGAAGUAAACAUGGUUAUGAAAAAAAAUGUUUGGUUGUUACAAAUCAAAGUAUAUCUUGGUUUCAAAAGCCAGUAUGACCAACAAUAAUAAAACGAAGCUGGCAAUUUUCCACUAAGCGUGUGUUUGGUUUUGCAAUGACUGAGAACUGAUUUUAACAGAACUGAGUUUGAUAUAUAUGAUUGUAGUUAAAAGUGAGUUGAAUGUAAAUUGAUUUAUGUUUGAAUGUAAAAGCUAUUCUUAUCAAUUUAUAUUGUUAGGAAAGUUUGGAUCAAAAUUACUUUUGGAUGUGUAAUAAAGGGAUGAUGUAUUGUCACCCACAACUAAUUUUCAGAAUUAAUUUUCAAUCACCGAAAAAGCUUGGAAUUUUAGCUUUCAAGUGAACUAAAGUUUGAGGUUGGAAUUGAUUCGCUUGUAUUGCAGCAAAACACUAUAUUUUUGUCAAACCAUGUUUGACUGUAGUGGACACACGAUUGGAGUUCGUCCCUGUGAAACCAAACGAGUGCUAUGUUCCACUAAGAACUUGCUUCCCAAAUAAAAACGUUUAAAUAUAAAUUACUCCACCUACAACUAUAUUUUAGCCAAAUUUUAAUUUGAUCAAAUCAAGUUCAUUCAAAACCAAUUUUACAAAUGCUCGCCCAAACACACAUAUCUAAUAAGUAUUGCCAAAUGCCUAGUUUCUUCUAGUUUGUUAUUCACAAUCAACAGCACAGGCAAAGCUCACAAGCAGUAUCAAAAAAGGGUAAAGGAUCCUAACAAUGAUGUUAAGUUAGCACAUGAAACAUGUUUCAUCAUGCUUCAUAACUCUCUUUGAUUCAAGAACAUCUUCUCCAUCUUUUCAUGUAUUUAUUAAUAUUUCUUUUUCAUAACAUUUCCAAUCUUCACCUAUAUAGCACUUGCACUUCAAAUUUAUGACACGACACAGACACAUAUGAUUACAUUCAAUCAAUUUCAAUUUCUCAAAUUAAGAAUCAAAUAUAACAAAAGAAAGCAGUAAAAACGCAAUACCUCAUCGAGUAGGAAUCAUGCCGGUUUUCCUAGCAUAGGCAAAGAUACCACCGGCUUCAAUGACAGGACCGGCAUCUCCAAUAGGCUUCAACUUAUACUCCUUUCCGGUUGUGUGAUUGAUCAAUCGAUUCUCCUCGAGCUCAACCGUCACUACAUCUCCCGUACGGCACUCCUCGCAGAUUCGCGUCUCAGAUUCAACCGGAUACACCUCUCCAGUAGCCACGGAGUUCCGGAAGAAGAUCCGUGCGUAUGACUCCGCUAUUACAGCGGCGGCACCGGAGGCGCCUAAUGCCACCGGUGCGUGUUCACGGGAGGAUCCACAGCCAAAAUUAUCGCCGGCGAUGAUGAUUGAGUAUUUCGUUUUGGUCUCGCCGGAGUCGAUAAAUCGGACAGCGUAAGAAUCAGGGAGUCCAAUUAAAGCAAAGGAACCGAGCUUCUGGUACUCGUCGGGGUUGGAAGGGACGAGAGUGAGAUGCUCGGCGGGGAUGAUCUGAUCGGUGUCGAUGUUAUCACCGACAACGUAGCAGAGACCAUGGAAGGAUGAGGUGGCGGUGGUUGUUGUUGAGGGAGAAGGAGGCGCGUGUGCGCGUGUGAUUUGUGGAGAGGAAAUGAUGGUUUUGCAGAACUUUGAUUGAAAUGAUGGAAAUGAAAGGAAGUUAAACGACGACGUUGAAGAAGAAGAAGAAGAAUGAGAGAAUGAGAGUUUGUUAGAGGAAGCAAAGGUUAGGUUUUGAGAAACAGUAGCGGUUGCAGAGGAAAACGCCAUCGUUUUAAGGUCAGAGACACACACUCACUCUUUCUGGUUCCCUCGCGAUGAUCUCCCUAUUUAGCGGCGCGUCUGUUAAUUUUCAUUGCAUUUAUAUAUAUUUAUUGUAUUUAAACGACGGCGUUUGGAGGUUAUGUUUGGUAGCAGCCAUUACAGUUUCCGUGUCGAUUUUUCCUUUUUAAGUGGUACUAGUAGUGUUGUAUCGAUUUUGUUUUCAUUACAAAAUAUUCAUUUAUUUGAUAGGGUAUUUCUAUAUGAUACAAAUUCAAAUUUAUUAAAAUUAAAAAGAAGAAUCCAUAAAAAAAUUCAUAGUAUUUAGAUUAAUAAUUUAAAAUAAUUACAUAUCUAUAAAUAUGAUAAAAUUUAAAUGUUCAAAAUAUCAUACAUUUAAAUGUAUCUAAAGUAAGAACUACGUCAAGCCGUCUAAGGGUGGUUGAUGAUUUAAAUUAUGUAAAGCCUUAUUUGAUGGACUUUUUUUAAUAAAAUGUCAAGUUUAGACUUUUUAAAGAGGACAUUUAUCUAAAUAGGUAAUCAUUAAACUUUUCAAAAUAUAUACUUUAAGUCAUACAUAAAUCAAUUUAAAUAUCAAAGUAAAUAAAAAAAUACAUAAAAAGGUCGUCCCGUCAAACUUAAGCUUUUUAAAAAGUUUAAGUUUGAAAGAUCGAUCUAUUCGUAUAAUUGAGUUUUUUUUUAUUUGUUAUGUAUUUUAAUAGACUUACAUAAGACUUAAACAAUAUUAUGGUUGAAUUUGACAAGUUGUUUACUUAUUUAAAAUCUAUUAUCUUAUUAUAAUUUUAUUGAAUUUGUUUCUUAAUUUUUAAGGCCUAUUUGGCUGUAAAAAAUUUUUAAUUACAAUUGUCCGAUUAAGUAUAACAAAUUAAUUGAAAGCUUGUAUUUAGUAUACUUGCAAAUUGAUAGACUUCUUGAUUUUUUUACCUAUUUAAUUAUAAUUGUAUUUAAAUGUUUUGAUAUGAAAAAAUAAACUUUCAGAGCAUGAUAGACUUUAAGAAAAGUCAAGCUAGACCUCAAAAAAUGGUUUAUGAUAAGUAAUAGGUCAGAAUCAAACUUCAAAUUUUUAAAACAAACCAAAUCUAUUUAACCAAAAUCUUGUCUGAUGAAACUCAUCUCCACCCCUAUCUAUAACGUUCACAGCGCUACAAUUGUCAUAAUAGAAUUGUUCAAAUGGACUGCCCGAAAAAUAAUAAGGCUUUGGGCCUCAAUUUUUGAGACCGAAUUAGAUUAAGGCUUCCGUAAAAACCCAAGUCUAUGACGGACUAAUCCAACAAAGCUUCGGGUGGCUCGUAUUGCACGUAUUAAAGAAAUAUUUAUUUAAAUUAUUAAGUGCUAAAAUAGUUAGUAAAAAUAUUAAUAUUUUGUAAUUAACAAUUAAAUGUUAGUAAAUAAUAUUAACGAAAAAAUUAAUAUAAUAUACAUGUAUUUGUUAAUUUUAUUUAUUGUGGUUUAUUUUAUUGCUAACAGUUAAAUAUUUAUGGAUGUUUAUUUUUUAUUUAACUAUGUAUACAUGGACGUAUUAAAUAUUUUUGAAACACAAUUAAAUUUAAUAUAUUAAUAAUUAAAUAGUAAUUUUUUAUAACUUAUUGAGUCUUAUUUUUAUUUCCACUUCUAGAUAUUAAUUCUAAAUUGUUCAUAUCAUAAUUUUAAACUUAAUUUUAUGAAUUAAAAUAUGUAUUUAGGUUUAAUAUAUUUUUGUUUUGAUAAAAAUUUAAUUAAAAAUUAUCUAUUUAAAUUUUUUUAUAAAUAAUUUUAAUUAUAAAAAGAAUAUGCAGACUGACCCGGAAGUCCGUGACUCGUAUAGAACCAAACUCAUGCACCAAUUUUGUAACACAUUUAAUUCGGGCUUUUUAGCUUUAUCCAAAAAACCCGCGACCCGGUUGGCCAGUCAUAUGCAAAUCGGGUAGUCCGAUUUGACACAUCUAGACGACGUCAAAGUUAUUUUAUUAAAAUUUAUAAUUGAUGAAAGUUACUCUAUCGAUAGGAACUAAACUACCACUACAACAAGACGGAAAAUUCAAACAAUAUUGCAUUAAGACGACAAACAAAACAUCAACGCACUUUGACAAAGAAAUCACAAAAAGAUACCAAAGAAAAAUUAAAUAAAAUCAUUUACUUAGAUAAAAUAAGAAUAAAAAUGACUUAGAGGUAGGGGUGUUCGCGGUGUGGUUUGGAUGAGACAAAAACUCAUAUGAUCCAAAAUUAAAAUACUCCAGGUUUGAUUUAGUUUGGUAUGAAUGAUAUUUAUAAAAAAAUCCAACAUGAUCUGAUUCGAAUUAAUGCGGUUUAAAUUGGAUCGAUUUUCGCUUAUCCAAAUUAUAAUUAUAAAAUAUUAAUUGAAUAUUAUUAUUAUUAUUAUUAUUAUUAUUAUUAUUAUUAUUAUUAUUAUUAUUAUAAACUUACGUUAAAGUAACAAGUUUAAAAUAAAACAUAACAGUUAAUAUAUUAAAAAUUAACAUUACAAAAUAAUAUUAAUGGAUUAUGUUUGAAAUAUAUGCAAUAGUAAAAAAUAGUAAAUUAAACAAAUAAGUACUAUUAAUAAAAAUUAAUACUAACAAAUAAUAAAUUAAUGCGAUAUCUAAUAAUAAUAAAAAAAGAUGGGUUAAGGGCACUUGUUAAAACAAAAUCAAAAGUAGUAAUUUCUUUCUUAAAAAAGAUAAAAUUUAGAAUUUUUAAAAUUUUGAAUACACAAUUUUUAAUAUACUUUUAAUGUAAAAUUUAUAUAUUUAGACUAUUAAUAAAGAACACUUGUUAACAUUUUCCUAAAAAGAUAAAUAAGUAUAAAAUUGACACAUGUGUUCGGUUUGAUUUUGUUUAAAGUUUUGAAAAUUGAAUUCGAAAUUUGAUCUAAUAUGUGCGGUUUUUAUAAAAGAAAAUCCAAACACAUUAAAUAAUAUUUGAUUUUGUGCCGUUUUCAAUUUUUUUAGAUCAUUUUACAAGUUUUUUUUUUUUUAUUGAUUUGAUGUGAGCAUUCCUACUUAAAAGGGUGGUUCUAUACUAAAAAAAAAAACAAUCUUAAAUCACAUUUUUCUAAUAAAUGAAGAAGAAGAAGAAGAAGAAGAAGAAAGAACAUAAGUUUUUAUAGAUAAGGCGGUGGUGACACUUUUCUUUAUGUGAUGACUAAUGAGAGACAACAUACUAGAGUUGAACAAUAAAUUGUAGUAAUCUAAAUUUCAAUUAAGAUGUAAAUAAGGUUCAGUAAAAUAUUAUUAACUCCUGAUUUAUUGAAGGCCAUUGACCUUUUUGUUACUACUCUCUCCAAUCAUUUUUAUAAUAGACAUUUAGAGCAAUAAUAAUUGAUGUAUUUAUAUUGACUCAAAUGUUUUUUAUAAAAAGAACCAAAAGUAUAAUUUUAUUGUGUUUAAAUAGAUUAAAAUGUUGGUAAAAAGAUUGUAAUGAUUUCUUCCAUAAAAAUAAUAAAAUUUACUUUUAUGAUAGUUUUUAUGUUAGUUUGAUAAGAAAAAUAGAGUAAAGAAGAAAUAAAAUUAUGAAUAAAACAAUUUAAAUCUAAAAUAAAAUGUUACACAAAAAUUUGAUACCUCAUUUGUAUAUGAGUGUGUAUAUAUUAGUUAUAAGAGAAGUGUUAGGAACAUUAUCUUUGUAACAUUCAUUCUAAGAUUUAUUCUUUUAUUAGGUGAGAGAAAUGUGAAUGUCAUUACUUUAUGUGAGAUUUAUUUCGAAAGUGUGGGACUCAUAUUGAUUUUAUCUAAUAAGAGAGUAGGUAUUGAAAAAAGAGUAUUAUUUGCAUUCUUCUAUGUUAUGUUAGUCUUAAACAUGUUCUUUAACACAUUUUUUUUAACAUUCUCUAUUUAAUUUGUUAAAAUUUACAUAGGUCUCAUUAAAAUAUACGGGUCUUUUAUAAAAUUAGUAAAACUAUGUGUAGUUUAACCAAUUAAAGAAAAUGUGUGUUAAAGAUUCUAUUGUUGACAUUAUUCUUAUUUUAAAGAAAAUGUUUGAUGAACACUCAAAUCUCCAUUUGAUACUAUGAGAAAGAAAUAGAGACGGUGGAUUGAUAUAUGUGAUAUGUUGGUGAUAUUAUAGAAAGAGAGAUAUAUAUAAAAAAAUAAAUGUUCAAUGAUUGUAUGAAAAUUAGAAAUUUGAAAUUAUUGGUGUUCUCUUCUUUACUCCCUCAUAUCAUGAGAGAGAUAAAAACAUAAACAUAUGAAAAAUGAUUUUCAUAAAUUCUACAUACAAACAAGAAAUUUCUUGUAUCUCUUUAUCUCUCUUAACAUGACAGAGAAAAGAAAAUAGAAAGAAUAAAAAAAAGGAUCCAAAUUUAAAAAAUAAGAGUGUUCAACCUAUUUGUUUUAUGACCUUAUUUAUAUUUCAUUUUCGACAUCUUUAUUUUAUAUUUUUAAAUUUAAAUUUGAAACAACAAUGAAAUGUUAAAGAUAAAUUUCUAAAAAUAUUGACCAAUUUUAUUUUGCACGAGUAAGCAUUACUACAUUAGUAAUUGAUAUUGUUAUUAUUUUGAUGAACAUGGUGAUCAAAUCCUCAAAUCAACUUUAUAUAAUAUAAAAAUUGACCAAAAUUGAUAAACAUUUUCAGUGAUUUCUUUAUAUUAUGGUAUAGAAUAAUAAUUAAUGGUAUGUUGUAUAUAUAUAAUUUAAAUAAUGUUAAUAUCAAUUUAAAAACUAAUGUGAUAUAAUUUUAUUAAAUAUUUAUUAUUUUAAGCUUGUGAAAAAUAUUAAAAUCAUAUUUUAUUAAAUUCAUAAAAAUAUUAUAUUUAAGUUUUUAUUUGAGAUCGCGAUAGAGUUGUCAGAAUCACAGUGAUUUAAUAUGAUUGUGACAAACUCACUUUGAUACCAAUUGUAACUUGAGUAUUAUUUUUAAAUGACCUAAUUAUUAUCAAUUCUUUAAGGAUUUUAAAAGGCUAUGGCAAAAGCAAACAUGCAAUGUUGUUGUUCUGAGUUUCAAACUAUUUAUGCUCUCCGAAGAAUCUUUUACUCCGGAUGGAAGUAGUUGAGUUGACAUUCAAAUGAGUCUAUAAUUUUUACCUUUUGAAAUUUAAUAAUGCAAUUUGAACAAAUCAUCUUUCUCACAUUUUCCAAAACCUCCCAUUCUUCCUGGUUUUAUCAGUCUCGAGAUUGCUUCUCCUACACACAAGUAGCUUCCUACAAGAACCUGCUGGAAGAACCCAACUAAAAGAUGAGUGCCAUUAGAAUCUUGAUGAAGCCGUAGAUGAGAGAAAAUAUUUAAAUUGAAAAUAAAUUAUAUAUAUUGAUAGAAUGAGAAGAUACAAUUAAAUCCAUAAUAUGUGAUAUAUAUAGCGUUAUAAGGACUUCUAAAACUAAUCUUCUAUAAAUUAAUUAUAAUUAACUUUUACCUCUAAUAUCCUCUAAGUUAUAGUGUGAUUAUUACACUUUCAGUUUGAAAAAUUUUAAAAAAGAAAUAUUGAAAAAAAUACUGGCUAAAAAGAAUUUAAAACAAAGAAAAUGUAUCGACUGAAAAAAAAAUAUAUAAAGUUAAUAGAGACUUGACAAACUAACUACCGAUAAACUAAUUCUAAGUAACUUUUACAUCUAAUAAAAGCUAAGCCCUUCAUAGAGUUCAUCCAUUCAUCAAUACAAUUUGAACUUUAAAGCGGUGUUAUCAAUCGUAGAUUGCAGAAAAUAGCGGUUUGUUCAAAUUUUGCUAGGCAAAAAUGCUUUAGUGUUCCUUUAGCUGUAAUUUGAUAAAAUUUUGUACUAAAUAGAAUAAUACAUAAUAAUAGCAAUUUAUUCAAAUUUCACUGUACUAAGUGCUAUAACACCACCAUUUAACAACAAUGUCCUAGACUUUUGAACAUGUCACUCGAAAAUUGUUGUCAUGUCACACAAAAGGGAGUGAAGUGUGUCGUAGAAAAUUGCACGCAAAUGAGAGAGAUCAACUUGUGGUGUUGCUCUAAAGUGUGUGCUAACAUUAUUGUCUUGUUGGGUUCAAUUGUGACGUUUAACUCAUUAUUGUUGGCACGCGCCCUCGAACUCCCCAACACGUGGUAUCAGAGUCUUGAUUCGCCUUGGUGGAGAGCGGGAGUUGAUCUUAGUGUUAGAUCCUUGUAUCAAAAGUCUUUUUAGCAAUAUAUUCAAUAGAUGGAUUCUGUUGAUACUAACGACGAUGCAUGUAUAGAAUGUGAGAGACUCACCCUAGGAGAAAAAUAAAUUUUAUAGCAAUAACUUCCCCAUUUUAGACUUAUUUCAUGUGAUUUAUAUUUCAUGAUUACCUUUCAAUUCCUUUAGUUUUACACUUAGACACAUCCAUGUUAUACACUCUGCCCUCAUAUCCCUUUUUCAUGUCCAAAUAAAAAUAGGGAAAAGCUACAAGUUUAGACCAGAAAACAACGAUUUUAGGGUCAAAUGAUAAAUAAAUAAAAAAAAAUCAGAAUUUAUAGGAGUUUCACUUUAGCGGUUUGUGACAAUUAUAUAUGCUAUUUGACUAUUAUUGGUGGCGCUACAACCACGACUCAAUACGUCUCACUACGAGUGUCGUCUAAAGCUUUUACAAGUGUUAGAACAUAGAAAGUAUAUUAGUGUGUGAAUUUAAAAAUUGUUAGAAUCUCGCUUGAAAUUUUUUCAUAUAUUGAUUAACUUUCAACUCUAUAAAUACUAAUGUCAUACAUUUAAUAGUUUAUAUAUGUGAGAUAGCUUCUAUCACUAUAUAAAAAAUGUCAAACUUUUAUGAAAAAUACAUAUUAUUCAUAACUUUUUCUCUUCUCCCUCUUGUGACUCGAUGCACUUUCAAACCACUUCUCCAUUUUCUUUCUUUUAUAUCUUUUCUAUCUUUUUAGAGUGGUCAUCUUCCAACAAAGGUCCACAAACCACCUAAUUAACACUAAUGGGUAAAAUCUCCAUGCACUUUCCAAAGUAAUAACAAAGAGUGUCCUAAACUAUUAAGAGAAAUAGAGACUGCAACUCUUAAAAAGUUACGAUCUUCCAAAUAGGAGCUUGCCAAUCCAUUUAUUCUAGUUAUGUCGUGAUUGAUAGUUGUUUGCACAAUUUUGGACAGUAUCACGAAACAUAAUAAAGAGAACCGUGACUCAACUUAAUAAUAUUUUAUAUGAUUGAAAAUUAUUUUUCAAAACAUUUUUUUGAAAUCUCAAAAAUAAUGUAAAAAAAUUAUUUUAUCAAACCAUUGUUCAUAACUAUUGAUAAAUAUUUUAUUAAUAUCCAUCAAUACAAAUUAUAAUAAUGUCUUAGAAAUUAAGUUAUAGCAAUAAUUAAAAAGUAAUAUAAAAAAAUAAUUAAAAUUAUAUUAAAAAUUAUAAACGACAUUUUUUUAAAAAUAUUUUGUUUAUUAAAGUGAGGCUAAGAUGAAAUUGGAUUUUCCAUAGCGUCUAGAAGCCGCCUGCUAUAGCCGCAUCGCAUCCUAUUGACUGUAUAGUUUGAAAGGUAAUCAUAAUUUCAGCUUUUCAAGAAACUACUCAAAUAGGUUUUCAAGAUAUUUUUUUUUUUUGCAGAUGUUAAUAUUUUUUUAUAUAAGUUUUAACAGACAACCUAAAAGUUUUAAAAAGUGAUUGUAUUUCCUUCUCAAAAUUAAAGUGAUUUUCUGAUGAAAAUAAGUUGAAAUGAAUAAGCUCUUAGUCUAGAAGUUAUGUAGUUUUCAUGAUAGUAGGUUAUACAAAUUUGGGUUAUUCUUCUUAUCAUGUAUACAAGAACCAAAUAAGGAAUUCAUAAAUUGUCAGAACUGAAUUAUUGAUAGUGUAGCAUAGUUGUACACACUAGGACUACAUUUAGAUUGAUUUAUCAACAACUAAUUUGGACUUAUCUACUAGAAUAAACACUUGGAAAAGUGUUUAGAAAAUAGUUAAUGGAAGUAAUUUAUGAAAUAUUUAAAUAAUAGCUUAUCAAAACAAUUUAUAUCGUUUGAAUAACAUGUUUAGCUAAACAAGCCCUUGUUUUCUAUUCAUAUUUUGUUAUGGAUUUGGACUUGUGCAUGUGGCAACACCAUGAGAUUUGACACUGAAAUGCAUAAUACUUUUUAUAGAAACCAAUUUAGAUUCACAAAAUGAAUUGGGAUUUGUAAAAUUUGUUGUUUAAUCCAAUAGCUUUGGUGGAACAAUCAAUGCUUCCUCAGUGUUGGAAGCGGAGUUAACAGCAAUUCUUUAGGUCUAUUUUAGCCAAUAUUUUAUUGAACUUAGAGAUAACCUCUUGUUGUUAUGUAAGUUCAUGUUCAUAUUGAGAAAAUUCUAUUGCAUUUUGGUGGAUUUGCGCAUAUGAGACGAAUAGAUUCUUAAGAGGAGUCGAAUCGAUAUAUCAAGUUUUAUGUAAUUGACUGUUGUUUUGCAAGUUACAUCCGAGUUAUCAUGAAAAUACACUAAACUAUAUUGUAGAGAAACAUAGGAAUGAAUUAAAUAAUCAAAAGACGAAUUAUUGUCAAGAAAAUAUUAAUUUUUUUACUUAUAUAAAAGAUUUAUUACUUUUGACUUGCGUUAAAAUAUGAAAGUAAUUUCCUAUAAAAAAAAAACAUUCAUUAAAAUCGUGAGAAAAAAAAGAGUCUGUAAAAAGUUUUUUAAAUUACAUGAUAAUUUCUAUCAAUUUCUUAAAUUCUUAAUAAAAAAAUGUAUAUUUCUCUAAAUACUAAUAGAUAAAUGGCUAUAUGACUUUACACUAAUAGUAUAUGAUAAUGGCUAACUGACUUUACUCUAAUAGUAUAUAAUAACUUGACUAAAAAUGUACAUCUUUCUCUAAAAAUGUACACGUGCAAAUAUUUGUUGAGGGAUGAAUUGAAAGAUUGAUUGAAAUAUUUGUGAUUGGGACGAAAUACUAAGUGCAUGCUUUGGUUUGUGGUUAGAUUGACAAAUAUAUGGUGAAUCAUUGCGAUAUGGAUAAAAACUAUAUAUUUUAGAGCAUUAACAAAAUUUUGAUUUUACUAAACUGAACAUAAAUUCAAACAUACACUAAGUGGAUAUUUUAUCAAUAAUACAUUGUUGACAAGUUAAUAGAUUUGUGAGCUGGCAAUGAUUUUGGGGAUAUGGAAUCAAGGUGUGUCUCCAUUAUUUUAGUAAAAGUCAAACACUUCUAAGCUUUAACGAAAUCAGUGUAUCACCGUGAUUAUAAAGAUGUAAUAAUUCAUUCUCGUCUUUCCUUCUUAGCCAUAUUUAUGUUCUCCUAACAAUCUUUAGUUCCCCAAAUGAAUCUACUACUUUUAAUUUUGAGAUUUUAAUAAAGCAAUGAGAUAAAAUACACAUUCGAUUGAAUUUUUAAAUUCUCAGAAAAUACUGGCUUUGCUAUUUGUUUUUGGAAACAAGCAACUCCUUCUGUUUUAGAUUAAACAGGUGCAAUGAAAGAACUAAAAUUGUACAAAGAGCUGCAUGAUACAUAUUUCUAAAGAAUUCUUCAAAUCCUCUAUUCAGAACAAUCACAUUGAACAUUGAUAAAGAAUUCUGCAAAUCCUCUAUGCAGAACAAUCACAUUGAACAUUAAUAAAGAAAAUCAUGUGACAAUAAACCUAUUUAUUUUUACAGUGAAUAUACAUUGGACAUGCAGUAGUUCCAAAUCUACCUCCAGGUUUUUCCAUAUGGACGCGCAAUGGGAGUCAUAACACCGUGGAAACAAACAUGCAGUAUAUGUGAUUAUGUUUGCACUGUCGCCAACAAAAUUUCAUAAAUUUCAAGACAUGAAUAUGUUUCAUUUCAUGUCUCAGAAUCUACAAUAUUCUGUUGUGAACCACAAUGCAAACAUUCCCUAUGUCUACAACUCACUCCUUGUAUAUAUCUUGUUUGAAUUUUGCAAAUCGCGUUUCUUUUGUAUAUAUUUAACAAAAAUGCAAUGAAAGAACAAAAAGUGCACACACUAAGCUGCAUUAUAAACUUCCUAAACAUCCUGUCCUGUUAAAUCAGGUCCUAUGUAUAGUGUCUAUCAAUUCAUCUCAUUCACAAAUAAUGUCAAAAUUAAAAAAUUACAUGCUGCAAAUUCUCCAAUGGCUAGCCUAAAAUUAAGAAAUCUGGUAUGCCUGUGUUUGAAAUUGCCUUGAACAGUAAGCAAUAGUAUUCCUACCAAGUUACCUAUCUGUCAUGUCAGAUUCAAGCAUCCAAGCAUGUUACAUCAUGGAUGCAUAUGCAAGUCUCAAUUCGUUUAGAAAUGUUUUGCCUUACCAACAUGCUUUAGAUUAAACGUAUGGAUUAUCUUUCUAACAUCCUUUCUAAUCGAAAAGAAUGCUGAGACAAGAGCAAUAAAAAUGGUUGGAUAGAUUCGGACACCAUUUGCAUGACUGAAACCAGAUUUUCCCAACACGAGUAUUCUGAUCAGACCCCAGAUAACAAGAAGUAUUCCGAAAAGUGUGAUUCUUCCCGGUUUCAUCAGACCCAAGAUUGCUCCUCCUACACACAAGUAGCUUCCUGCAAGAACCUGCAGAAAGAAUCCAACUUGAAAAAUGAGUGCCAAGGCUAAACCCUUCAAAGAGUUCAUUCAUUCAUCAAGACAAUUUGAAGCAAUGUUGUCAAUUGUAGAUUGCAGAAAAUCGCAGUUUGUUCAAAUUCUCCUAAGCAACAAUGCUAUAGUACCACUUUAGCCACAAUUUGACAAAAUUUUAUACUGAAUAGCAUAAUGCAAAAAAAUAGCGAUCUGUUCAAAUUCUGCCACAUUAUAGCACCGCUAUUAAACAACAUUGAUUUGAGGGAUUGUUUUUCUUUUUCAAUUACUAAUCUACCUCUAGGCGUUGAAGUUCUGAAGCAGCGGAGAUCGUCCUUGAAUUGAAAUCAUACAAAUUUAACAAAUUUCUAUAACUUGGGAUGGUUUUCUGAGUGAAAAUAGCCUUUGCAAAUGCUCCUGGAUAGAGAAGAGUCUUCACAAUGAAAUGAGGAAAGACAUCACUUCCAAUUAAUAGAGAAGAUGUUAAUUCUAAUGGUGUCUUGCAUAUUCCCAUUCUGCAUGGAACACUGAGAAAAAAAUGGAGCCUUUGUUAGUAUCAGCACUGGCGCACUACAAUACAAAAGCAUUGUUUUGAUUCUUUUGAAUUAUAAUUGAAAUAGGAUUUGAAACUGAAAGUACUAUAUCAGAACUCCAUUUCAAGCUUUUAAGGUUAGUAAUUACAAGAAUUAAAGAACACACACACACAUGCCAUUAGUAUAUGACCAUGAGUCAAUGGCAGAGCAAUAAUGAACCUAAUUAAUGUCAUAAUUCUCUACAUACAUAGGAGUUUGAUUUAACUUUUUGGAUGCCUUUUUCAAACAAAGACAAUUACAAUUACAAUUACUCCAUCUUGUUUCAAAUAUGAAAAAAGUACCCUCUGGUACAUUUCUUUGUCCCUAAUUAUAAGACCCUUGACAAAUUUCUAGAUACAUUUACUACUAUUUUUCCAAAUAUAUCCUUUAUUAAUAUUACUAAAUUGUCUUGGAAUAUGAAAAGUUAGCAUUGAAUGCAUCUAUACGCAGAGUAAUUUAGUAAUAGUCUAUACAUAAUCACACUGCCAACUUUUCUUAAUAUGCAUAAAAAGUGUCUUAGAAUCUUAUAAAUCAGAGGAGGUACUUAUAUUCAUUGAUCUCAAAUAUAACCAAAUUCAAUUACUUUCACCAUAUUUAAUGAUGUCAUUUUUAAUAUAUGAUUAAUUUUCUAACGACUACUUUAUUCUCAUGAACGAAAAUUGAGACAGAGGGGUAACUCUCAUAGCAAAUAUUUUCCUUCUACACUUAUCAGCAAAAAAAUUAGCCCCUUAUGUUAGACCCAUUAACCCGAAUUUGUAGCAAAUUAUAUUGCACCGACACUUCUGAACAAAGGCAUGUCUGGAUAUUUGACUCCAACACAUUAAUUACAUUUAAUUAAUUAAUUUUCUCAAUUUAUUACUGGUUGACAUGUCAAUCUCACAUCUGGUAUGUGUCUAUGUUUCAUAGGUAGCAAAUCAAUUUUGUAACUUAAAUUGGUAGUUGAGUGAUCUAAAUGAUGAUUGUGUUCUAUAAAUUGCAUUUUAUCCACACAACAGAAAACUAGUGCACAAAAUUGAAAGAAAAGAAACAAACAAAAACCUAAAUAAUUAUUAACCCUAAUUUGCAGAAUAUUAAACUGAAAAUGUAAUAACUGAUUUCAAGAAUCCUGUUACUGACAGAAAAAUAAAAAGAAAAAAGUAAAAAAGAAAAAUAACAAGAAAGGUGAACCGUGAACGUAACUAUAUUAAAAAUACAUUUUACAAUUUCUUUUCCGACAAAGUGAAGUGUCGUUAAAAGCAAAAAGAAAAAAAGGUUAAAGGGAAAUGAUGAUAUACCUGAAAAGGGGAACUUGAAAAAUGAUGAAAAUGAAAUAAGUUGAAAAUGCAAUGGUGGAAAUUAGGUUGGCUAAUUGCUUGGAAGAAGCCAUGAAACUGUGAAACCUAAUUAUCUUUUAUCUUUUAUCUUUUUCAAUUAAAGUUGAAAAAAAUAAAUUAAAAUUGAAAUUAAGAGAGUAUGUGGCAAAACGAAACGGAGGUAAAAAGUUUGACGAGUUCAAUUUUUUCAAUAAAAUCGAAAUUGCUGUGAAGUUAUCUUUUUUGCUGGUCCGGGUAAUUAUCACUACGGGAGCAAAAAUUUCAACAAAAGGUUUUGGCUUAAUGAACGAAUUAACGAUUUAAACAGUUUUACAUGGAUAAUACAAACUAUUAAUUAUUUAUUUGUUAUACAUUAAAAGUUACAAUUAUACAAUAAAAUAAUAAAAUUAAUUUAUACUAAGCUAUCUCAACUUUAUACACUCACAAUCUUUAAAAGUUUAAAUAUAUUUUUAAUUCUGAAAACUUUAAAAUAUUAUUCCUACUAAAUUUUAAUAGAUUUUUAGUCCCUUGUAUUAUAGGUGUCUCCAGAAUUAAUCCUUGUUGUUAUUCUAAUAUUGCUAACUACGAUAAAGGAAGUAUUUUAAUGAGAUAUGCUACGUAGACUUUAAGAUCAUGUGGCAUCCAUGUGGCAAUGGACUUACUUGAGUAUUUUAUUAAAUUAUCUAAUUAAUAAAUACAUUAUUUUUAAUUGAUUUAAAUAAAAAAUAAAAGAAUAUAAAAUAAAUAGAUCAAGACGUCGUGUCGUGUGUUUGAAGUCUAAGUAAAUAUUUUAAAAUUUGAAAAGAGAUCGCAAUAAUAGAGGGUAAGAAAAAAAUGAAGAAGGGAUAAAGAUUGAUCUGUCUUUGAAUUGAAGAAGAAAUUUAAUUUUAACUUUUUAAUUUUUAAUUUUUUUAUUAAAAUUAAUUAAUUAAAAAUAUAUUUUUCUGAUUUAGAUUUGUAACGUGAGUAUUUAAUAAUAAUGUGACAUAUUUUUAUUUUAAAAUAACAUUUGUUCAUACAUAUCAUGAUUUAAAAGCUAAAUGUUGUAAAUGAAAUGUAAUUUAAAAGAAAAAAUUUGAAAAAAAAAGUAAAUUACAAAAGAUUUAAGUCAAAACUGAAUUAAACUUAAAUGAGCAUUACUGUAUUUUUCUCUUUAUUUUAAUUUAUCAUAACUACAGUUUUUUUAUAAUAAAAAUGUGAAAUUAUAAUAGAGGGAAUGAAGGGGAUGAAAAUUGAUGUAUCUUUAGAUUAAAGAAGAAAUCUAAUAUUAAUUUUGAUAUUUUUUUACUAAAAUUAAUUAAAUAAAAAAUAUAUUUUGCUGAUUUAAAUUUAUCACGUUAACAUUUAACAGAUAAUAUGACAUUUUUUUUAACAUAUUUAUAGAAAAAUGAUAUUUGUGCAUGCACACCGUAACAUAAAAGUUAAAUAUUGAAAAUAAAAUUUAUCUUCAAAAAUUCAAUCAGAAGAAGAGAAAAAAAAAACUUAUGUGAAAUUAAAUUAAUCUUAAAUGACGACAAUUGUCUUUUUAUUUUUAUUUUAAUUUAUCAUAACUAUAUUAAUAUAUUUUUUAUAACAAAAAUAGUGAUAUCGAAUAAUAAAGGGAAAUCAAAAGAUUAAAAAAAGAGAUGAAUAUUGGUGUAUCUUUGAAUGGAAGAAGUUACUUAAUUUUAAUUUUAAUAUUUUAUUUUUUUAUUAAAAUUGAUUAAUUAAAAAAUCUAUUUUGUUGAUUUAAAUUUGACACAUUGACAUUUAACGGCAAUGUGACAAUUUUUUUAACUGAACUAUAAAUAAAAAGAACAUUUGUAUAUACAGACCAUAACUUGGAUAAACAUUGUAAAUAAAAUAUAAUUUAAAAGACUUAAUUGGAAGAAAAAAACUAAAAAAAAUCAGCUAAACUUAAACGGCGACACAACUGUAUGUUUCGUUUAUUUUAAUUUAUCAUAACUACAUUAACAAAAUGGUGAAUUGAACAAUAGAGUUAAAGAAGAAGAUGAAGAAGAAAUUGAAGAUUGAUGUGUAUUUAGAUCAAAGAAGAAAUCUAAUUUUAUUUUUGAUGAUUUUUUUUGUUAAAAUUAAUUGUUUUUUUAAUAUAUUUUGCUGAUUUAGAUUUGUCGCGUUAGCAUUUAACAAUAAUGUGACAUUAUUUAAUAGAAAAAAAGGAUAUUUGUGUAUACAGACAAUAAUUUAAAAAUUAAAUAUUGUAAAUGAAACGUAACUUAAAAAACCUCUAAAAUUACAAUAACUAUAUUUUUUUUCAUUAUUUUAGUUUAUAAUAUCUGCAUUUUAUUUUAUAAUAAAAAUGGUGAACUUGAGUAAUAAAGGGAAAGAAAAAGAUAAGAAUAGAAUGGAGAUUGACGCGUCUUUGGAGUGAAGAAGAAACCUAAUUUCAAUUUUGAUAUUUUAACUUUUUUAAUUAAAAUGAACUAGUUAAAAUUAUAUUUUACUGAUUAAGAUUUGUCACAUUAGCAUUUAUUUGCAAUUUUUUCAAAUAACUAAAUACACAUAUCUCAAAAUUUUAUUUCCUUUUUAAAAUGAUUGACAAAUGCCACGCGACAGUGGCACUUAUUAGUAUUUGCCUUAAUUAUUUAACUAUUUGUCGAAUCUUCUAAUACAUAUAGAAUAGUAAGAUACAUUUGAAAUUAUAUAAAUACUAUUAUUUAAAAAUUUGACAUCUAAUUAAAAUUAAGGACAUUUUAUUCCGAAACACUUUUUUAUCCCACUUACUACUAUUAACCAUUGUAUACUUUAUUUACUUGAUAUUAUUUAGUGUAUUUUUUGUUUAACGUAGUAACUAUUAAUAAUUUAUUAUUUGUUUACUUUCUAUUAUCUCAUGUGUUAUUUAUUUCUUCAUCUAUUAACCAAUGUAUAUAACUUUUUCACUCUUUCAUAUUUAGAUUUACAUUCAAAUUUCAUAAUAAUUUUCCAUUUAAAAAUCUAAAUCACUUCCUUCUUACUUAUUUUUUUUUUCUCAUUUUAUUCUUUCUUUCCUUAUAAUUGAUCGUUGCAACAAUUUAUAUUUAAUUUUAUAUUUGAUUGAUAAAUAUUAAAAAAAAAGGAAUAAAUUUUGUUAAUAUUAAAUUUAAAAAUCACACCAUAAAUGUUAAUCACUUAUAAAAAAUAUAUAAUAAAUAUUUGUUAUUGAUAAAUAUAAAAGAAAGUUAAAUAUGUUUUUAGUCCCUCUAAAUAUAUCAACUUUUAUUUUUAAUUCCUCUAAAUAUACCAAUAUAAAAGACAGUUAAAUAUGAAAUAAAUAUUUAUCACUGAUAAAUAUAAAAAUAUAAGAUAAAUAUUUAUCACUGCUAAAUAUAAUAAAGCACAAGACAAAUAUUAAUUUUUGAUGUAUGACUCAUUUCUCACUAAUAAAUAUUUAAAAAAACACCAAUUUUUUGUUGUUGUUAUUAAUACAUGAAAAUUGCACAAGACAAAUAUUUAUUAGUAAUAAAUAUAAAAAAUACGGGACAAAUAUUUAUAAUCAAUAAAAUAUAAAAAAAUACGAGACAAAUAUUGAUAAAUAUUAAAAAAACCACACAAGAUAAAGAUUAGGGACAUUAAAAAUAAAUUUGGGACAAAUAUUAGUCACCGAUAAAUAUAAAAAAAUGACACGGCAAAUUUUUUUCAUUGAUAUAUAAAAUAUAUUUGUCAUUGAUAAAUUUUAAAAAAAAAAUUAAGAAAUAAAUAUAUAUCAUUGAUACAUAAAAAAAAACACAGGAUAAAUAUAUAUUACUGAUAAAAUAUAAGAAAACACGUAACAAAGAACACACAUUUCAUUUUUUUAUAUCUUCUAAAUAAAACUAAGAAUAAUUAUAAUAUAUAUUAUUUAAAUCACAAAUGAGAUAAAUAUAUGUAAUUAAAAAAUAUCUAAAAUUAAUGUUUUUUUAAUAUCGUGUACAUAAAAAUCAAAAUAAUUAUAAUACACUCAAUUUAAAAAAAAAAUGGUAAACCACAAUUUUAAUUCUUAAAACGGAAACUAUAUGACACUAUCAUUUUUGUUUGUGACUAAAAAAAAACUCAAUUAAUCUUUGAAUCAUCAAAAUAUUAGUUAGUUUAAUUUUUUUACGUUAUGCUAAUUAUGAAAUAUUUUGGUAAUAGAUUCAAUCUUUUCAAAAAAAUUAUAAUAUUAAAUUGUAUAUUUCAAAUAUUAUUUUAAUAAUUUGAUGAUUAAUUUAAUUUUUUUAUUAAAAAAAACUAUAUUUGUAUUUCAAACUAAAAAAUUAAUUGUACAUGUGAAAAUGCAUGGAUAACUUGUUAGUUAGUUUAAAAAUUAAAUGAAACGAAGACAAAGUACACAUAACACAAGUGGGUGUGUAAGGUGACAAAGCUUGGCAUCACAUGACGAUCACACAUCUCAAUGCAAUUAUUGGCAUCUAGUCAUUAUAUCAUGAUUCAGGACCACCACCCUUUUAUUCAAUAAAAUAAAUCAGGGCCACCGUUUUCUGUACAAAUACCUUCUUUAUUUAGAGUUUAGUUUUUUUUUUUUUUAUUAUUUUUUUUUAUAUAUAUAAAUUUCUUUUAUAUAAGAAAUAGAAAGCUCCUAUAUUAUAAUCUUAUGCUAUAAAACAUGAAUAGUGUCAUGAGAAAGACAAGUAUGAUUUUUUUUUGUAAGUCUUUAAUAAAUGAUUUUUUAUUUUAUUUUAAACUGAAAUACCAUGUCUUCAAUUUAAAUAUUUUUUAGCAACAAAAUUUUUUUUAUUGAAUAUUGGUAUUACAAAGAUUUUAUACACUUAGAUCAUAUAUAUUACAUCUUUUAAAAAUUUAUGUUAAUAUAUACACAUUAUGAUAAUAAUUUUUUUUAUUUCUUUUAAAAAAUAGAAAAGAUCAACCAAAUUAUUUAUUUAAUGAAAAUUUAAUAAACUAUUUUUUAGGUUAAAUAAUACUUCAUUUAUUUUAGAUGAAUUUAAUUUUAUACAGUUACAAUAAAAAAAUAUUAUAUGUCAUCUUUUUAUCAUAACUAUUCGUGUUUAUAACUUUUGAAAUAAUUAAUAUAUAAAUUUAAUAUUUAUAAUAAUUUGACGGUUGUGAUAGAAUGACAAUGUAAAAGAUUUUUGUACUAUUAAUUAAAUCAUUUUUUUUAUCAAUUUAAAGUUAUUUAUACAUAUAAAAACAUUAAUAAAUUUUACUAUUCUUAAUGAAAUCAUAUAUUUAUUUCCAUAAUAAUUUGAAGUAUUUAUUAAUUCAUUUAAUAUAUUUUUCUAAUAAAUAGUCAAUAAUAUAGAUGAAAAAAUAAUACUUUUUAAUAUUAAAUUAAAAAUUUUAAAAAUCACAAAUAAAAAAAUUAUUGCACAAAAGUUGACAAAUAAAAAAAAUGAAGCCAAUAAUAAAACAAUAGAAGUAAGAACAUAUAUACAAGCAACCUAUUAAAAUAAUUACCGUACUAUUAAUCGAAUUUUUUAUGUAAACCAAUAAAUACAUAUAAUUUUGUUCAAUAAAAAGUUGAAUAGAGUUAACGGGAGAGUAAAUUUUUUCAUUCUAAAAUCUCAUGCGAUAUUGUCAGAUAAAAUUUUAUAUUGACAAAAAAUUUACAACCGAGGAAUACUAAUCUACUUGUAGCUAGAUGGAGUAUAUAUUCUUUAUUAUACCAUAUAUUAUCACAUUUCAUUAUGUGAGAGUGAAAUCUUCACCAUAUUCUAUACUAUGUGGAACAACCUAUCCUUUGAUGUUCUAUCCUUCAUCUUCUCUUUUCUCUCCCCUGACUCCUUAGCAAGAGCAAGAUCAACUUGCAAGAAUUGGCACACAUGUGGAAGUAAUUUCAUAACCCAAUUCAAGCCUCAUGAGAGUAAACCAUGGUUCUUAGCACUACCAAUUAGAAGUUAUCAAAAAUCAUGUUGUUAUGCUCACAAUCCCAUCACAAAUAAUUGGUUUGAAAUAUUCCUAGAUUUCUUUCCAUUCACAACAACACUUAAACCAAUUGGUCCAAUUGGAAGCCUUAUCCUUUUAAGGGUCACAAAUUCCACAACACUUCAAUUGGCUCUUUGUAACCCUUUUACAAGACAAUUCAAGUACCUUCCUAAAUUACAUGUUUCAAGGACUAAUCCAGCUUGUGGAGUUGUUAUUUUGGAACCAAACAAUUUUUGUUACUUUCCUAAUUUUAGAAUCUACGUGGCUGGUGGCAUGUCCGAGGCUAAACACGGUGGUGCCACGUAUGAACAAACCGUGGAAAUGUAUGACUCAUGUGUUGACACGUGGAAAAUUGUUGGAUCUAUGCUAGUUGAAUUUUCAAUUAGGCUCACGGUUUGGACCCCAAAUGAGAAUGUGUGUGUUGAAAGAACAAAAGGAACAACGUUGUAUUGGGUAACCUCGGCAAGGGCAUAUAGUGUGAUAGGAUUUGAUGUUGGCAAUAGUUGUUGGAGGGAAUUUGGUGUGCCUCUUGGGGAUAAGCUUGAAUUUGCAAAUCUUGUGAGAUGGAAUGGAGGGUUGGGAUUAGUUGGUGGCACGUGUGGUGGAAAUGUUUGUGUUUGGGAAAUGAGUGAAGAGGGUGAUGAUAAGUGGUGUUUGGUUAAUGAGAUGCCGGUUGAAUUAGGGUUGAGAUUGUUGUGUGGGAAGAGAAAUUGGGAAGGUGUUAAGUGUGUGAGUGAUGAGGAUGCUAUUUGUUUGUAUAGGGAAUUUGGAUUUGGAAUGGUGAUUUGUAGAAAAGAUAGAGAUUUGGGUAAAUGGGAAUGGAUUUGGGUUGAUGGGUGUGGUUACAUAAAGGGGAAAAAAGUGCUUAUUUGUCCAAUAAGAGGAGUACUUGUUCAUCCAACUCUUGCUUCCUCCUCUUUUUUUCUUUGAAACUAGAAAUGAUGUUGGGGUGUGAUUGUGGAAGUGUGUUUGAGAGGGGAUCCAUUCAUGUAUGAAUUUUUUAUUGAAAAAAUUUAUGGAAUUUCAUGAGAAUUUAUUAUGUACAAAUUUGCAAGAAAUUAAUGAUUGAAAUGUGUCAUGAGAUGUUACUUUUUGGUGGAAUAUUUGUAUAUGGAAUAAUGAGUUAUGAUCUUAUCUUUUGCACUACUUUAUAGGUAAACUAGUGUUUAGAACAAAGGAAAGUAAAAGUACUUUAGGUUUAUUUAUGUUUAUAUGAAUGAGGGUUUAAUUUAGUGCUAGUAACACAUAAUAUGCAAGUCAUAUGAAGUGAAUAGAGAAUUGAUUGGUUGAAUUGAAAAAGGAGAGAAGGGGAAGAGUAGAUUGACAUUAAUUUGAUGUUGUAUGUGAGGAUAAUACUAUCGUUUCAAGUAAAAUUUAUUUUGGAAUUUUCAACCUUAGAUGCUUGCCUUUAGAAUUUUCAAUUUAAAUAAAAAUUUAACUGUUAUACACUAAUAUUAUAAAAAGUUUUACAGGUCAGAAAAUCGUAAUUAUUCAUUAAAUAUCUUUAAUAAUAUAAUAAUUGUGAUUGAUUAUAAUUUUUUUUUAUAAUGAAGUGUUUAUAAAUUAAUUUUUUUAAAAAAUAACUUACUAAAAGCAUGAAAGUGAAUAAGAAAAUAUCUAUGAUGAAAAAAAAAUCAGAAUAUAAAAAAAAAUUAAACAAAUCACAAUAAUAAGAAAAAUCCAAAACAAAUAUAACAAAUAAAAGUGUUUUGGAUAUUGGACUUGAGGCCCAAAUGCAUCCACCUAAAAAGUAUCGGUGAUCCUACAAAUAUUCACCAAUUUUCACAAUUACACACCUAAAUCUUACGAAUAUUUUAAAUAUCUAAAUUUGUCCAUGAUAUAAAAAUAAAAAUUUAAAAAUUUCAUCUACCUACAAAAUUCUAAAUGAAUUUUAAAAAAUUUAAAAUUAAUUUUUUUAAAAUACGAAAAAAAAUUGAAAAACUUAAAAUAAGUUUGUCAGAAUAAUUUUUUUUAAAAUAUUUGAAAAAUUCCAGAAAUGUGUUUUUUUAUUUAUUUUAAAUUGAUAUUAUUUGCCACAGUUGUUAGAAUUUCUUUUUAUAGAAAAAUUAAUUAAAUAUGACAGGAAGAAUUCACCUUUCUCAAGUUCAUUCAUUUGAGUCCACCUUAUUGGCAUUUCCUGUUGGUCAGGAUGUUACGGUUCAAGAGAAAAAGUCACGGUAAUGUAAUUCAAUUAUUAUUUUUCAAUAAUAAAACAUUAAUAAAUUUAAUUUAUAUAAAAUAUGACAAUUACAAUGAUUAAAUCAUCAAAAAAUAUUAUUUAUAAAGUCAUAUUUAUGAUUUUCUAAUUGAUAUAAAUUUUUUUAUAUUCAAUACAUAACAAUUAAAUCUAAUAUUAAAGUAAAAAAAUAGACUACAUUCUUCAAAAUUAUGUGGCACAGUUCCACUUAAACUACCUAACAUGAGUUUUACCAUCGAAGAUACUCUUAGAUAGUAGGGCACUCCCUCAAAUGAUAUAUCAAUUUAAUUGUAAUAGCAUCGAUAGUGAGAGACUCAAAUAAAAUUAUGUUUAACUUUCGAACUUAUACUUAUAACUAAUUUGCAAUAUAUCAUAUUUCAAGAAAGGGAAAUUAAUAUAGAAUGAAAAGUGGUUGUUGACCGACUUGUUUUUUCCUAUUUGAAUAGUUGGGCUUUGAAAUUUGAAUACAAAAGUAGCUUCACCUGUCUAAACGUCACAAUUACAAUGUAUCAAAAUCAAAUGGCUUUCAACAAUAAACAGAAAAAUUAAAUAUAUUUUUAUCCUCUAUAAAUUUCAAAGAUUUAAUAUUAAUUUUUAUAAAAUUAAAAUAAAUUUUUUAAUCCACAUAAAAUUAUCAUACAAAUAAUUUUAGUCUUGAUAUUAAGUCAACAUAUAUUUUUAAAUAAAUAUAUUUUCAUGUAUAUUUACAACAAUAUAAAAAAUAAAAAAUAAAAAAGUUAAUUUUUAAUUUUUCAUUUUAGUUGUUUUUAUCUUAAGUUUUUUAUGUUUAAAAAUUUCUUAUUUAAUUAAUCUAAAAUUAAAAAAUUAAAUUUUUGUGGAAGAAUUUUUUAUAAUAUUAUGAAUAUUUGUAAAAAAAGUUAUUAAAAAAUAAUUAAAUAUAUUUUAUUUUAGCUGUAUUUUUAUUUUACAAAAUUAAAAUUGAAUGACAGAGAAUUUUUUUGGACUAAAAGCAUAUUUAGAAAAAUAAAAUAAAAGUGUCAACUAGUUGGCUAUAAGUUUGAUCACCAACUUUAUCAUUCAGUAAUCAAAUCACUUUAACAUAUAUAACAUAUGCACAAAGGCACUACAAGAUGUCAAGAACAUAACUACACUACAAACAUUAAUUAGUCAUAAAAAUGGUAACCAAAUUGAGAUCACUCUGCUUUAUUGCAUUUAUACUAUUGUUAACAUUGGUCUCAAGAGGAAGUGCUCAAGAUAAUUCUUGCUUAAACAAGCUUGCACCUUGCUUAAACUACCUCAAUGGAACACAAGACCCACCUGAUAGUUGUUGUGAUCCACUCAAAUCUAUGAUUAAAUCAGAUGCAACAUGUUUGUGUAGCUUAGCAAGCAACAAAGGCACAAGGCAAGCUGAACAAGCUGGCAUUAAUGUUAAUGAUUCUCAAAAUUUGCCUGGGAGAUGUGGCCAACAUGUUAAUCCAUUGUCAUGCCUUACAAGUAUGUUUUCUUUUCCUUCUUUUAGUCCAAUUUGUGUUGUUUACAACAUAAGCCACCACUCUAUUCAUUCAUUGAAAGCGUAGUGCUUUGUGAUUUUCUUCUUUAAUUCAAUAAAAAAUUUAAAUUAAUCUUCGAAUAAUCAAAAUAAUUUAUUAUAGGUAUAAAUUACUACUAUAUCUUUAAAAGAUAAAUUUUAUUGUCAAAAAAGUUCAUAACUGUUAUAACAUCAAUAACUAAACUGACUGAUGUUUUGAUGAUUAAUUUGAACUUUUAAUUGAGUCAGAGAUUAAAGUGACAACAUCCUAUAUUUUUAGGGACUAAAAUUUUGGUUCACUCAUUGUUUAAAUUUGUUAUUGCUCUCACAUCUCUAGACUCUCCAACAAGUGGUAUCAGCGUCAUAAUUCGGCUUGGUGGAGGAGUGAGAGUGGAUCCUGGUUUUAGAUUCUUGUAUCGAAAGUCUUCCUGACAGUGUAGUUAGGAGACGCGUGACGUUGGUAAUAAGGGUGAUACAAGUAUAGGAUGUAAUAGACUCACGUUUGAGUGAGAGAAUGUUGGAUUCAAAUGUGAGUGAUUAAGUAUCAUAUUGACUAUGAAUAAGUUAAAUAUUGAAUAUAUAAGAGUAGUGAUCCAUAUACCUACUGGCUUAAGGUUUUUGGUGAAGAUGUGGUGUCAAAGUAUUUUGCAGAUCCGAAAUCAUUUGUUGAACAUGAUUACCAAUUUUAUGAGAUUUUUGUAUUUUCAGGAUUUCUGUAAGAAAACACAAAAAAGAAUAACAUUGUUGAUAUUUUAAGAAAUAAAUGAUCCAAUCAUAAAUUGAAUUACUAUAUGAAAUAAAGUUAAGGGACUCCGGAAGGUAUUUUACCAAAAUAAUAUAUAACUCAAAUGAAAUAUUUAAUAUGAGAUAAAUGAAAUAACAUUAAAUAAUCAUAAAAAUAUUCAAAAAUCUAAAAAUUCAAUUUCAAAUUGAUAAAUGGAAAAUAUCAUCAUUAUUAUUAUUAUUAUUAUUAUUAUUAUUAUUAUUAUUAUUAUUAUUAUUAUUAUUAUUAUUAUUAUUAUUAUUAUUAUCUAAAACAAGACCAAAAAUCCCAAAGAACAUAUUUAUAAAAUGAAAAAAUAUCAAUAAAAGAAAAUGUAAAAAAAGAAAAACAGAGUGUUAAUAUUUAGAUUUUUUUACCAUACAUUAUUUUACUACUCCAAUUGUUACUACCAUUUAAUAAAAAAAAAAAGAAAAAAGAAUUAUAACACAAAACUCAAUAUCACACUAUAUUUAAUGUAAUACCACACUAUAUCUCCCAAAGCUCUUCAAUGGUUGUGAUCAAAAGGGAGGGGCCCAUGCUAACUCUUCAACACAAUUUAGAUAUAAAUUCAUCCGUCGUGUAACAUGUUGAGAAUUUUUUUUCAUCUAUUUUAAUAACAUCUAUUUCAAAUUUUCAACUAUAUUAAUUUAUUAUGUUUUACUAAAAUAUCUCUAUUUUUUUUUGUAAGCAUUAAUUAAACAAUGAAUAUUAUGAAUGGUAAUAUUAAAAUGUCCAUAGUCUUCAUCAUGAGGGUUGCAUAUUGACAUUAGACAAGUCUACUAAAUGAAUCUCACCAUUUUGUUUUUUCUUUCUCUUUCGAUACUAUACUUCUUUCUUGACCUUAAAAAAUGAAUCUCUAUAGUUUAAAUAAGUUACAUCAUUUGGCUGUGUAAUUCCUUCAUUACAAAACAAAAUUAUUAUUUUGAAAUAAUAAUAUAUGUGUACUAUUUCAGGUUCCACAAACUCAAAUAAUAACUCAGCAACAAAGUUGAUGAGCAUGUCCCUACUAGUUAUGAUGAUCCCAACCUUAUCAAGUAUUAUACACAUGUUUUAGGGACUUAUUAUUGUAGGGAUAAUGUGUUGGCAAAAGCUAUUGACGAUGCAAGAUUUAAUAUUUUAUUUUCCUUUUUUGGGUGAAAUUUAUUUUCUUUUCUUCUUGGAGGGUGUGGUUUAUUAGAUGUUGAACAUUGAAAACUUGAAAUAUACAUGUUUAUUGAUUGGUAUUGCUUAGUUUUUUAUGUAAUGAAAGAGCAAAAAAAUCAGUUUGAUCCUUCUGAGUAGAAGUGACUAAAAAAUGGGGUUGAAGUAAAAAUUUGGACAAAAUCAUUUUCGAAUUAUUUCAUUGAUGUAACAAAAUUUAAAGACAUGUUUCCUAAAAAAAAGAAAAUUAAAGACACGUGCCAAAUUAUACCACUACACUUUCUUUAUCACACGAGUGACUUAAGAUACUUAGAAUACUCAUAAUAGAAUAAACAAUCUAUUAAUCGUAAUAUAUAACUUAACUAACAAAUAUUGUCGAUAUUGUUAGACUGAAUAACACGUCUCGAAUUUUAAUUCGGGACCUCAGUUGCGUACGAAUUAUAAAAGGGAAUCUAGAUUUUAUUCAUCUUAAUUUUCCUAACUAAGUCACUGAUCACUCGUUCAUAAUCUUCCUAUGUUGGGCCUAGAUCUUAAGGACUUCUUUAGUGCAAUUGGCCAAAAUUUUAAUGUGGGAUCAACAUCACACUUUAUCUCGUACCAUUUUUUUUGUCUUUCAAAGACAACAUUUUUCUCAAGGUUGUAGAUAGAGAAUGCUUUUGCAAGAAAAGAUGCAUCUUCUCAAGUAGCUUGUAGGUAAAGUAGACACUCAUUGAAUCAACAAUUGUUAGUAGUCGCCAUUGUUGCUCCACGAGGUGUAGGUACCCAAAAUACAAGAGGGUUGUAACUUAACAAGGUUUCCAGUAACAUUGUAUUCCAAGGGGAAUCUAGGCUAGUGGUGUAUUGUGAAUGUUGGGUUCAAGUGUGUGUGAAUAAGGUAUAUAUCAAUUAUUAAUGAACAAAAUGUUGGAUAUACAAGAGAUGUCACUCAUAUACCUAAUGUCUUAAAGUUUUAGGUUGAGAUGUGAUACCAAAGUUGAAGCAACAAUAUCAAUCACAAGGAAGGGGACUUGAAUGUGAUCUCUUUUAAAAUUUUGAUUCUUGUACUUAAUUUAAAUUAACUCAAGAUCAAUCUUGGCUGAAACAAAAUGUACAAAAUGUUUUGGAUAUGUUAGAAGUAAAUAAAACAGAUUAGUUCUAAGUGAAAUGAUCAGUGGGUGACAUAUGAAAAUAGAUAAGGAUAAUAAGAUCAUGCAAAUAUGUAUUUUGAUUCACCCAAGGUGGGCUACGUCCAGUCUUCACAAUCUGUGAGAUUUUUCAAUAAUGUGCUUAUAACCAGAACGUUCUGCCUUUGCACUUUCUUUUUUUAUCACACUUGAUCAAUUACAACUUUCAUCUUUCAACCUUGAAAUAAAUUUCUACAAUCAUCUUUCAGUCUAUAAAUGAUUUUUAUAAAUAUCUUUCAAUCAAGAAAUGACUUUUUAUAACACACUCAAUCUAUCUUAAGAUAUAGACUUGAGUUACAAAAUAAUGUAUAUGUCAAAAGUGUUUGGGAUCUAGAAACUUCUAAACACUUGUUUGAGAUUGAUUAACAGCAAGAACUCAGAAAGAUGAUCCACGGAUAUAGUAAGAGAGUUGAAGUUUUACUUGAUAGAAGAGAUUUGCUACUUGAGUUUAAAUGAUCAAGUGUAGAUUGAUUUUUUGCAAACUCUUUCCUUCAUCUUACAAUUGAUCUUCAACUUAUAGAUGAUGAAAAGCUAUGAAUAUGCAGUUUAAACUUAAUAUAUCCAUUAGACACAUCAACCAAGUGUCAGAUAUAUUUUAAAACAACUAAACACAUAUUUAUAUUACUGUUUAGAACGUUCUUUACAAAUCUAUAAUAUUUUUGCUUUUGAGUGUGAUAGAAAACGUGAAUGUAUUAGCUAUCAUAUGUCAGUUGUACUGUUUUAACUUAGAAGCAUGCAAUGCUUUAUGCAUAAUAGUGCAUGCACAUUGUACUUGUGUCCUUAUUGUCCUUGCACACAACUAAUUAAUUCGGAUAUCAUUCUGGUCAUCAAAUUGGAGGUUGUUUUCUUCAUUUGGGAAUUUCUAUUCGAGUUAUGGGUUUGACUACUUAUUUGAGCAGUCUUGAUACUCUUAACUUAUAGUUUGGACCGUAAAAAAUAUGUCUUGAUUUUGUCUUUAAUAAAAAAUAUCAUGAACGUUCUUAUGAUUAUUCUCCGGUUCAUUUUACUAUUACUUUUGAAGAUUCUUGAAAAACUCUUGGGCUUGUACAGUGGAUCUUUGACAUGAUAUAGGAUGACAACAAUGUUCUCGAUUUAUUUCAAAGAGAGUCAUAUUAUUUUUUCAUAAAUAUGUUUGAUCACCUAUUUGUGAAUAAAUUACUAAAAAACACAAGGUAAAUACAAAUAUGAACGUAAUCACAAUUAGUGAUUAAUUAACUAUUUGAUUAUCCUUAAAUCACUUAAUUAGGGAUUUUGCCUCAACAAAAUCUCUUGUAGUUCUGAAACAUUUGACAUGUUGUUGCUCUCAUGUUCCCUCGAACUCCCCUAACAAGUGGCAUUAGAGGUUAGUUCAACUUGGCGGGGGAGAAAAGUGGACUAUGGUAUUGGAUUCUUGUAUGAAAAGUAUUCCUGCCAUUGUAGUCAGGAGGCAAGUUUUGUUGGUAAUAACGACGGUGCAAUAGAUUUCAUUAGUAAUAACAGUGGUGCAAAUAUAGGAUGUGGAAGACUCACACUUGAUGGGAAGAUUGAGAGGGGUGACUCAUUCACCUAACGUAUAUGUUUGGCAACUAGCCAUGUAUAUGUUUUUACAUAUGUUUGUUAGAGAAUCUAAGUUAAUUAUCAAUGAUCAUGUGAUCAUGUAAACAAAGAACAUACAAGAUGAAUAAAUUUGAUAUAGAAAAAUUAGAACUAAUAAUUAAUGUUUUUGGAUCAAUAAACCAAACUCGUACUUUAUCUAAUAUAGAUAGGGUAUUUUUCUGUAUAAAGAAUGAAAGUAAUAUGAAGACCAGAUCAAUCUUAACUAUUUUGAAGAUUUUGUUCUAAUCUUAAAAAUUGGACUUUUAAUAAAAAAGAAAGUAAAAUUUUAAUAAUUUAAAAAAUUGGUAACAUAAGUCUUUAGUCUCUAUAAAAUUUUAUUUUUAGUUUCUUAAUUUUUUUUUAAUUCACAUUUAGUCCCUAUUUUAAAAAAAUUGAUACUUUUAAUCCCUAAAAAAGUCUCUAUAAAAUCAAAAUAUAGACUAACAAAGAAUAAAUUUUUCUGAGAACUAAACUUAAAAAGUCGUAAUUUUAUAAGACUAAAAAAAUAUUUAAUUCUGUCUAAAAAAUAUUUAAUCCAAAAAAAUUUAUCCUCAUUUCAUUAUAUUAUAUAUAAAAAAUAAAAAAUAAAAACAUUUGGGGCCAUUCGUCAGUGAGGCCCGAGGCCCUGUGAAGUUGGGCUGGAUGCGCAUAUGACGAUCAGCGGCUAUGCUUAGGACCAAAUAUUAUUUAUAAGUUUGAUUCUAGAAUCAAGAAUUAAAAGUCAGUACCACUCAUAUAAUAAUCAUUGAAAGACCAUUAAGUUUAAUAUCAUUCACGAACCAACUUUCAUAAUUUAUCAACCACUUGAAUCGUGAAUGUCGGCGAAUCAGUUUUAAUAUUAAAUUUAUAUCUUCUCUCCCCCGCAAAAUGAGGGUAUUUUAGUAAUACUUGAAAUUAAUUAUAAAAAUAAUAUUACUAAAAUUUAAAAUAUUAUUAUUUAAUAAUAAAUCAAUUUACGACAUUUAUGUUGACAAUUUUUGUUACCACUAUUUGUUUAUUUAUAAAUAAGUAAACAUUUAUUUAUUUAUAAAAGAAAGUUAAAUUAUAGUAAUAUCCAAUUUAUAUAUAUUUUGUAUAUUUUCUAUCACAAUUAAUUAUAUAUAUAAAUAAUUUAAUCUAUAAUAGCCUUUGAUAUUAAAUUACUUACAAGGUUGUUUUCAAGGCAAACACAAUGCACUUCUCCAUUAAAAAAAUGUUAAAUAUGUUGCAAUAUUGAUUUUAAUUUAUUUGUUUUUUAAUUUUACUGAUUUAGAAUUUUGUUGUUUUAGAUUUUAGUUUUUUUAUUAAUAUUUUUUUAUUUCAAAAAUGCCAUAGUAUGAAAACUAUUUACGCGAAUAUUUUAUUUAUUUAUUUAAUUAAAAAGUAGGAGGUUGUUCCUUGGGGAAGCGACCAACUUAGAGGAAAUUUUUUGAAACUCAAUAGAAUGUCGUUUUCUAGGAAGCGACUUCUAACUGAGUAAUUUUUUUUUGUUAUAUUUUAAUAUUUGUUUAUUAUUAGAGGUAUUAUAUUAAUUAUUUUAAAAAAAUAAAAUUACUAAUAAUAAAUUAAAAUAAAAUACAUUAAUAAAUUAUAAAUAAAUUUUAUAUUUUAAUUAUUAUUAUUAUAAUAAAUAAAUAUUAUAAUUAUAAUUAAAAAUUAUUAUAAUAAAAAUGAUUAUAUUAUAUUAUAAAUUUUAAAAAAAAUACAUUAAAUGAUAAUAAAAAUUAAAUAAUAAUAACAAUUAAAUAAAAAGAAAUUAUAUUAAUAACAUGAAAAUGAAACAAAAUACAUUAAAUUAACGAUAAAAAUAUAUCAUAUUUGAGAGAUAAAAAACAUCAAAUUUAUAUCAAUGAUGUCUAUCUAAAUGACUCUGAGUCCCACAUCUAGGAUGGUGUCGAACUCGUCUAGCUCUCUGAACAAGUUGCAGUUCUUCUGAUUCAUCUGGUUCAUCCUCAUUUUGAUCAUUUUCCUCAAUGUAAGUUGUAGAUGGAUUAGAAUCACUGCCGUAUGCUUCCAUUAAAUUUUGAGAUUGUUGAUUAUACAUCGAAUCAAAUACAACAUAAGGCAACUCAGGAGUUUUGCACUGAGUUUCAAACAAAUUAUAGAGAAGCUCAUGUUCUGUCGAAUAAUCGGGUGUUGGUAUUUCUGGCACUGACGGAACAUAAUACUGAGAUGGUGGUGGAUCAUAUGAAGGAUAUUGGCCACAAUAUGAAGGUGUUAAGGCAUGUCACAAUCCACUAAUGCGGAGAAUCAACAAAGGUUGCCCAAAGAGCAAAGGCAUUAAAACAUAAAUGGACACUACAAAAAGAGUAUCAAGAAAAUGCAGAAUAUGUUGGGUCUCUGGUCAUACUAAAAAAUAUUGUCCAAACUCUACUCGCACAUCUACUCAAUUUUGAUGUAUUUUGUUUUUUAAUUUUAAAGUAUUUUUUUUUAAAAUUUAUAAUAUAAUUUAAUCACUUUUAUUAUAAUAUUUUUUAAUUAUAAUAAUAAUAAUUAUUUAUUAUAAUAAUAAUAGUUAAAAUAUAAAAUUUAUUUAUAAUUUAUUAAUGUAUUUCAUUUUAAUUUAUUAUUAGUAUUUUUAUUUUUUAAAUAAUUAAAUUAAUAACUCUAAUAAUAAACAAAUAUUAAAAUAUAACCAAAAUUUUUUUUACUAAAUUAGAAGUCGCUUCCCCAGAAAAUGACCUUCUAGUGAAUUUUAAAAAUUUCCCCUUUAGCUGAUCGCUUCUUUAGGGAACAACCUCCUAUUGAAAAAAAAAAAAAAAAAAAAAAAAAAAAGUAAAACAUUCGCGUAAAUAGUUUUCAAACUAAGACAUUUUAAAAAUUAUAAAAAUAAAAAGAGAUAUAUUAAUAAAAAAACUCUUCAGUUUUUUACAAAAUAUUUUAUGGUCACAUUGUUUCUGUAAACAAAAAAAGACCUCGACAUAAUGAUAAUUUUUGGGUCAAAAUUUAAUAGAAGAUCAAAAAUUUAAUUUUAAAAUAAAAGACUAUUUUUGUAAUAUAUUAAAAUAAAAAAUACAAUUAAAUUUAUUUUUUAUCUAUAAGAAAAUUAAUUACUUUUAAAGAGCCAAAACACUUAAGUGUUAGGGGCAUUUUGGAAAUAUCGUACAUCUUAUGUCAACUUUAACUACCCACGGCAAUCAUUAAAAGUUAAGAAAUCUUUUAUUAUAUAGUGAUAACGUUGAUGAUGUGUUUAGUCAAAAAAAAGAAAAACGAUGAUAAUGUGAUAAUAAUGGUCACGACAAUGACAAUUUUUCUAGGAAAUUUUUUAACGACUCAUGAAAAACGUGGAUAUUAUCAGUACCUUUUAAAUAAAAUUUAUUCAAAUUCAAACUAUUUUAAAAAAUAAUUAAAUAUAAAAUUUAUUAAAUAUUAUAUCCAAGAUACUUUAAUGUUUGUACAUUUUUUUUUAAUUAGUUUAUUAAAUUUUCUAUUUGUUUUUUUGGAAUUUAAUUUUACAUCUUGAAGAUUAAAGUUAAAAGUUGGUUCACCAUAUAUUUUUUCACUUCUUCCGUUUUAUAUCAUUUGUGGUUUACCAAAUUUCCAAAACAUGAUUAAGUACGAAUUUAAUUUUUGUACGUGUUUGUGGACCAAACCAAAUUUCUGUGAUAUAUUAAUAGUUGAUGUUUAGUUUGUUAAUUUUUAUUGCAAAUUUAGUAUGCUGGAUCAUUUCGUACGUGUUUAUGUUUAAGAGUAAAAUAAAUCGUAUAAACGUCUAACUUUGACAUUUAUUCAUAUUAAUGUAUUUAUUUAUUUUUAAUGUUAAUAAACAUGACAAAGUUGAAUACCACUUUGAAUGCUCUACGAAAUGAUGAGAAGGACUUGGUUAUAACUUCUAUGAUAAUGAACAAAAGUAGGUUAGCAUGUUUGUCCAGCUGGAUUAAAAAAUUUAACAAAAAAAAAGCUAGUUUAAAAAUUAAAAAAUAAAGUAUGUGUAUUUAAUAUUUUUAACAACUAUAUUUUCAAUAUUAAAAAAAAUAUGAAAAACAUAUUUAUUUAGAUUAAAUAAACUGUUUAUCCUUAUAAAAAAAAUUAUUUUAGAGCCACUACUAAAAUUCUAUUCAUUUUAAUCCCAACAACUAUGCUUUUUUAGACUUAAUAUGAUUUUAAUUCUUACAAAUGUAAGUUAUUUAGAUUUUAAUCUUUGUAAGUUAUAUUUUUGGUUUAUACCCUUACAAUUUCAUACAAGUUUUCAAAAAGUCAUUAAUGAAUUUAUUUAUUAUAAAAAGACUUAAAUGCACUUUGGUUUUUUAUUUUAUUCAAAUUCAACUUUUAGCCAAUCUUAUAUUUAAAUUUGAGUUUGUGAUCCCUCAAUUUCACAUGUUAUGGGAUUAUUUUAUUCUCUUCCAAUUUUUAUGAUGUGGCUACGCCAUUUAUGAUAUGACAUUGAUAUGGAAAGGGUGAGUUGGAAAAAAUGCCUUAUUGUGGUUAAUCUGAAAAAUAAGUUUGAUUUAAUCUUCAAAACUCAAAAAUUGUUUCUCUAAAGCUCGUGUAUUUUGCACAUUCAAAGCAAGCUUGAAUCUAUAUCAAGCUUAUUCAUGUUUUUAACACCAUCAUCAUUUGGCAUGUGAAAUUGAACCAAACGACCCACUUUUGAGUUAUCUCUCCACCCAUUUUGAGAAACACAAAUAAAUAGUACAAGAUGAAAACUUUG
rnacentral:lncRNA from 1 species